rnacentral:lncRNA from 1 species
UGAGCUGGUCCGUCUUGGGUCCGUCCUCUUGUCCCCUUCGCCCUCUGCUCUCGCCCCUUCCUCUUUCAUGUCGAUGUGAUGAGUUGUUGUCCAGCGCGGGUUGGUCCAUUCAUCAGUUUAUUGUUUUGUUUGUCAUUGGUUUGCUGCUGGCCGGCGGGCCGCAUGCGUCAUGUGCUGAUUUUAUUGGGGUUAAAUUGGCCAUGUCUGAAAUCUGAAAUGGAAUUGCACGAUUUGACUAUUUUGCUUGACUGUUUCUAGUCUUGGUCUCCUGUUUGGAUAACUCAUCGGUACGACCAGUCUAAGCUUAGGUCACUUCGGUUUGCAUUUUUGUUGUUGAUGAAUACACAGUAACAGCAUGAGCAUCCUGCGAAUUAACCUGUGGUUGAGUUGGUUAGGUGGACAGUGAUAUCCCUAACCCACCAGGGUUCAAAUCCUGGUGCUCCCAUUAUUUCUGGAUUUAUUUCGGGAUUUCCGGCGAUACAUUUUUAGUGGGAAGUUGACCAACAUGACAUGCCAUCAAAGAAUAAAGAAAAUCUAAAAUAAAUUUGUAAAAUACGAUCACUUAUGACAAGUCUAUAACUUGAACUCGGAUGAUUAGGUUCCACCACAAAAAAUUCUUACCAUUUAAGUUAAACUCAGUCGCUUUGUUUGCAUAUAAUUGAGAUGUACAAAAGCAAUUUUUUGAUAUAAAUUAUUUCGUCCAACCGAUGGGAAACGCGUGAACUUUCUUAUGCACGAGUAUCUUGGAAACUAUUGUAAUAGGGGCCGACCCUAUGAUGGGCAACGUCUUCUAAUAUCAUAUAUAUGCAUGUUCCCUAAAUAUAUACGCAUGUGCGUUGCGCUGCAAGAUUUUCUGCCAACUUGUAUAAUCUAACUACUCCAAAAUGUAUUAACUAUUUUCUAAGAGCAUGCAAGAGGAUUGUGUGCCAUUGUAUUAAGUGGGAGAGAACGGUUUAGUUACAAGAAACACUCAACUAGCCACAAACGGUCAUCGUAGCCAUCUAAUAGCAUGCUAAGGAAUAACUCGCUAAAUAAUUUUGUGUACAAUACCUCACCAAUAGCACGUUAAUAGUAGAUUUUAAGGACGGCACUUUUUUGCCACAAUGCGUUUUUCUUUCCACCGAGCUUUACACACAACCAACACCCCGGACUACUCUCUACACAUCCUAUCCACACGCACAAGCUUCCAAAGCGCAAAUUCUGCUUACGUCUAACUCCAAAUGUACGUCCCUGCGGAGGCAUUGUUGUCAAGCACUGUCUUGUUACAUUCUAGCCAGAUGAUGAGCAAGUUAAUCUCAGUAAAUUGGUUUUCUGGGUUAGUUGCGAAGAUGGUGUGCCACCAAUCACAUAAUGUGACGAGGUGUAAGUGCAUCUAGUGCCAACCCUAGUUGGUUUUGGAGUAUUGACGACAAACCUAGUUGAGGGACUAAUGUAUUUGUGAGAAUUGCAGGAUAACACAGGUAGAAGUCCCUCAUCGAUUCGGUUUUCCUACCAGAGAUGACCCCUAAAAAUGUAUGAAGACAUUGAUGUCAAAGGUGGUAUAUGAAGAUAUUCACAUUAAAGACUAUGACAAGAGAAGACACCGCAUGAAGCCUAUGGAGCUCGAAGACUUAGAUCUUUCGUAGUUCUUUUUCUUCUGUGUUGAGUCAUAGAAACCACCGUACUGUUAAGUGGGGUCCAAGAGAACCAGUCAGAAUGACUGAAAUGAUGCUUAAACAAAACAUAUGCCUUCGAGUGAAGACUAUGAGAGCGAAUCUUGUCCAGAGUCGGACAAGUCAGCUUUGCUUAUAGCCCAAGUAAAGUUGCCGUGUGAGUUUGAAAUCUGACCGUUGGAACAUGUGUCAGUUCCUUAGUGACCCAGGGUCAUUUCAGACAAAUCAGGUCGGGUUGCCUAGUGGCUAUAAAUAGCCCACCCCCUACAACCAUAAACGGUUGGCUGCUCAGAUUCAGAGUACGGCUUUUGUCGUUUGAGAGCAACCCACCUCGAAGCCUUCGAGAGAGAAUUCCUUGCGAGGAUAAAGCCCUAACCAUCCAGAGCCAAAGAGAAUUAGGCAUCACUUAAGUCUUCUUGUCUGUGUGAUCUGAAGACUUAUUACACUUGAGGACUGUGCAUCCUCCAGCCGGUUAGGCGUCGCGUUCUGAGCAUCCAAGAGACAUUGUGGAUCGCCGGUGAACGAAGUUUGUGAAGGUUUUGGAGUCUACCUUGAAGACUUACCAGAGUGAUUGGGCGAGGUCUAUGUGACCUUAGCUCAAGGGGAAUACGGUGAGGACUGGGUGUCCUGAGCUGCGUGUUCAGGACUGGGUGUCCGGGACUGUGUGUCCUUAGGUUUAAAUACCUAGCCGCCCUAACCAGACAUAUAGUUGUCACAGCAACUGGAACUGAUGGAACAAAUCAUUGUCUUCAACGAGUCACUAGUUUCAUCCUUCCCUUCUCCUUACUUACUGUUACUCCUUGUGAAGUUAUUGUAUGUCUGCACUAUCUUUUGUCUUCACUGAGUGACUAUGUGAUCUGUUUGGCUUCUUAAUAUCUUCCUACCUGAUCCUUACUACCUAGCUGCUAUUAGUCAUUGUGCUUUCACUUCAUUGAAUACAUGACUAUGGUUUAUCUAGUGUAGUCUACCUUCCGCUGCAUGGUAAUAGGUUUAUUUCUAUCGUUUGUCUUCGAAACUUUCAUAUUUUGAAGACUUUCAUAAAAUCGCCUAUUCACCCCCCUCUAGUCGAUAUAACGCACUUUCAAUUGGUAUCAGAGCAAGGUGCUCCCUUGUUCUGUGUGGUUCGGUUUAACCAUCUGAAGUUUUAGCUAUGUCGACUGCAGGGAUAAUUAAAGUCUCCGCUGUGUGCCCCGUCUUCGAUGAAACUGAAUAUCCCUACUGGAAGAAUAAGAUGCGCAUGCAUCUUGAAGCCAUUGACGUCGACCUAUGGUAUGUCGUCAAGAACGGCGUUCCCAAGGCUGGAGAAGGUGUCACUGCUGCUGAUGUCAAGAAGUUCGUUCAACUGGACUCUACUGUCAAGAAUAUCAUCUGUGGUCAUCUGACCAAAGUACAGUAUGGCCGUGUGAGUGCUUUGAAAACAUCUAAGUUGGUCUGGGACUGGCUCUCCAAGGUCAACGAAGGCGUCUCAACCCAGAGAGAUCAGAGAAUCAGUGUCAUUCGCAACCUCUUCAACCGCUUCAAGCGAAAUGACAAUGAGAAUGUCCAGCUCACGUUUGACCGACUCACUGACAUCACAAAUGAGCUUCAAGCCCUCGGCACCACUGAGAUCACCAAGCAUGAAGUCAUCAAGACACUACUGAGAUCACUUAACAGUUCGUUUGACAGCCUAGCCCUGAUGAUUUAAGAACGACCUGAUUUCAAGACACUCGAUCCGUCCGACAUACUUGAGAGGCUCAACACACAUGAGUUUCAGCUUUCUGAGAAAAGAGAUAUCUACGGUCCAAACUAUGGGCGAACUCGUGCCUUGAAGGCAAAAGCUGUCUCCUCAUCUGAAGAAGAAUCUGAUAGCAGUUCUGAUGAUCCUGAAGACAUUGGAAAGGAACUUGCUAUGCUUGUGAAGAAGUUCCAAAAAUUCACCAAGAAGAAAGGCUUCAGAAAGUCUUCACGAUCAAGCUCAAGGAAUGAUGAAGCUUCUGCUCAUGACUACAAGAAGAAAACAUGCCACAAGUGCAAGAAAACUGGCCACUUCAUCUCUGAGUGUCCGCAGUGGGACAAUGAGAACAGAAAGAAGAAGAAGAGCAAGUAAUAUGACUCUGACGACAAGAAGAAGAAGAAAUACUCAAAGUCCUCUUCCAAGUCUUCCUCAAAGUCUUCAUCACACAAGAAGAGCUCAUCUGGCAAGGCACGUGUGUUUGUCGGCAAGGAAAUGGAUUCAGAGGAGGAGUCCGCUUCUGAGGAGGCGGAGGUGGAGUCUGAGGAGGAGUCCGAUUCUGGCGUUGCAAGUCUGGCUACAGCAUACGUUCCCAAGUCCAUCUUCAACACUAAAGACAAUGACUUCACCAUCGACACCGAUGCAAAUGACAAGGACUACUCUACUCCUACCUACUGCUUCAUGGCACGCGGUGCCAAGGUAAACACACGCACUACUCACUAUCAAACAUCUAGUGAUGAUGACUCUGAUUGUGAUUCAAGACCCAGCUACAAAACACUUGCUAAAAUUGCAACUGAACAACAGAAAGCCAUGGAACAUAUUCAAAAACUGUUAGACAAAAGCGAUGAUCUGUUGGGCGCUGAAAUGACUCGGUCUGAGUCCUUAAUUGAAGACAUAAAAAAUCUUCAUGUUAAGUAUGAGGAACUUGAAAGUCGUCAUGAAACGCUCUCAACAACUCAUGAAAAGCUUUCCUAUGAUUAUCUUCAAAGGAAGCAAGAUCUUGAGAAAUUGAGAGCGGCUCAUGAAGAUCUUCAAAAGGAAAACGAGUCACUUCGCGCCGAACAGAUCAGUUCCGCUCAGGAAGGAUUUGAACCACCAUGUCCUAAAUGCAUUGAGCGUGAUAAUGCUACUUCUGUUGCUGAAUGUUCUACUGUUGCUACUGUUGCAAUUUCUUCAACUGUUGAUGUGGUAACUAACCCCUCUGCUGAGGAUACCACUGCUAUUGCUGAUGAGAAUGCUAGGUUGAAGACAUUGCUUGAAACAGGGAUGUACAAAAUUCUUAAAGGGCGUCAGACACUAUGUGAUGUCCUCAAAAGGCAGAUUCUGAACCGAAACCCGAGGAAAGAGGGUGUUGGGUUCAUAAGGAAAAUGAAUGUUGAUGGCUCUUACUGGAAACCCGAGCAGUAUCCCAAAACCACAUGGGUUGCUGCAAAGGAACCUUCAGCUGAUCCAUCCAAUCUAUCUGGCUUCACUUGUGCUAACCCCAUUGUCAUCGAUGAAUCCUUUGAUGCAAACUAUAAACUGUUUAAGAAUCAGAAUGGUGAAGUGUUUGCCAGGUACAUUGGUACUAACUGCAGGAAUGGACCGCCUAUGAAGAAGAUCUGGGUGCCCAAAAGGUGUUUGGAAAAUCUUCCUGUGAAUGUCAUCAUGACACCACAGAUGAAGAAGACAAACCCCAGACCACAGGCUUCAUACGGCCCAAAGGCUUCAUACAGACAGAGGACUCACCUGAGUCGCACUAACGCAAAUGUUUUGCAGGGAAACCAUACUCAGGCCUAUGAAUAUGAGCGCGGUUCAUCGAACCGCCAUGUUCAUAAGACCAAAACCUAUUCUGCUUAUUCUUAUGAGUAUUAUUGUCCGCCUGCAAGACUUUUUGCUAGGGCUCCAAAGCCAAAGUUUUCAGACGCUGCACUUAGACUUAUCGCUUCUAAGCCACCCUUGAAGAUGUGGGUGGUUAAGAAGGCUUAACUCUCUUUUGCAGGGAAAGGUCUCCAGCAGAAAACCAAAAUCUUCUGACGCUAUUGCUGGGGACCUUAAACAUCUUGUAGGCUGCAAGAUCAAAUGCCCGAAUGGUCUUACUAUGUACUUCGUUCCUGAAUUGCUUGCUACUCUCCCUAUCAGUCCUAAUCUGGAUCUAAGCUUUCAUAACCCACUGGUUCGUCAAAUGUUUUUGCUUCACAAUUCUCUUCGUGAAGCCUAUCCCCCUAACUGCACUAUAGGGUACGACACCAGCGUCUACAGAAUGGAUUAUUGAUAGUGGGUGUACAAAUCACAUGACUGGCAAAAGAAGCCUUCUUAUGGACUCAACCUUACGUCCAUCCGACAAGAGCCACAUCACAUUUGCUGACACUGGUAAAAGUAAGGUAUUGGGUCUAGGUAGAGUUGCAAUCUCAAAGGAUCAACACAUGGAUAAAGUCAUGCUUGUUGAAUCCCUUGGCUUCAACUUAAUGUCUGUCUCAAUGCUUUACGAUUUGAACAUGAUCGUAAUAUUUGGAAAAUAUCGUUGCCUUGUUCUAAUGGAAUCUGAAAAGUCUCUAGUAUUUGAAGGGUAUCGAAAAGAUGAUUUGUACGUGGUAGAUUUCUCAGCAGGACCACAGCUUGCCGUAUGUCUUCUAGCAAAAGCUUCAGAAUGCUGGCUCUGGCAUCGGAGGCUUGGGCAUGCUGGCAUGAGGAACCUCCACACCCUUGCAAAGAAGAAGCAUGUCAUAGGCAUCGAGGGCGUCAAGUUCAAGAAAGAUCACUUAUGCGGUGCCUGUGAAGCAGGAAAGAUGACGAGGGACAAACAUCCCUCGAAGACAAUCAUGACUACUACUCGACCCUUCGAACUGCUUCACAUGGAUCUUUUCGGUCCCACUCAUUACUCAACUCUUACUACUACUGCUUGUCUCUAUGGCUUUGUCAUUGUUGAUGAUUAUUCUAGAUAUACUUGGGUGCACAUAAUCCUUUACAAGACUGAAGUGCAGGAUGUCUUCAGACGCUUCGCCAAUUGAGCAAUGAACAACUAUGGCGCCAAGAUAAAGCACAUCAGAAGUGACAAUGGCACUGAAUUCAAGAACACUGGCCUUGAUACAUAUCUUGAUACCUUGGGCAUCACACAUGAAUUCUCAGCCCCGUACACGCCACAACAGAAUGGCGUCGUCAAAUGCAAGAACAGAACACUCAUUGAGAUGGCCAGAACGAUGCUAGAUGAAUACAAGACUCCAAGAAAAUUCUGGCCUGAAGCCAUUGAUACUGCAUGCCAUACAAUCAAUCGUGUUUAUCUUCACAAGCUUCUGAACAAGACAUCUUAUGAGCUUCUUACUAGCAAGAAGCCAAAUGUCAGUUACUUCAGAGUAUUUGGCGCCAGGUGCUGGAUCAAGGACCCACAUCACACUUCAAAGUUUGCACCAAAAGCACAUGAGGGUUUUAUGCUUGGAUAUGGAAAGGAUUCGCACUCCUACAGAGUCUUCAAUCUCUUUCAUUAUAAAGUGGUUGAAACAGUGGAUGUGCGGUUCGAUGAGACUAACGGUUCAUAAAGAGAGCACCUGCCAAAUGUGCUAGAUGAAGUUCCAUCCAGUGAAUCAAUCAAGCUAAUGGGAACUGGAGAAAUCAUACCUUCUGAAGCUCAUCCUGAAGAGGAACUUAUCAUCUCCGCACCAGACUGUAAGUGCAUCUAGUGCCACCCCUAGUUGGUUUUGGAGUAUUGACGACAAACCUAGUUGAGGGACUAAUGUGUUUGUGAGAAUUGCAGGAUAACACGGGUAGAAGUCCCUCAUUGAUUUAGUUUUACUACCAGAGACGACCCUUAAAAAUGUAUGAAGACAUUGAAGCCAAAGGUGAUAUAUGAAGAUGUUCACAUUGAAGACUAUGACAAAAGAAGACACGUUAUGAAGUGUAUGGAGCUCGAAGACUUAGAUCUUUCGUAGUUCUUUUUUCCUUUGUGUUGAGUCAUAGGAACCACCGUACUGUUAAGUGGGGUCCAGGAGAACCAGUCAGAAUGACUGAAGUGAUGCCUAAACCAAAAACCUAUGUCUUUGAGUGAAGACAGUGAGAGCGAAUCUUGUCCAGAGCCGGACAAGUCAGCUUUGCUUGUAGCCCAAGUAAAGUUGCCAUGAGAGUUUGAAAUCUGACCGUUGAGACACGUGUCAGUUCCUUAGUGACCCAGGGUCAUUUCGGACAAAUCAGGUCGGGUUGCCAAGUGGCUAUAAAUAUCCCACCCCCUACAACCAUAAACGGUUGGCUGCUCAGAUUUCAGUGCACGGCUUUUGUCGUUUGAGAGCAACCCACCUCGAAGCCUUUGAGAGAAAAUUCCUAGCGAGGAGAAAAGCCCUAACCAACCAGAGCCAGAGAACAUUGGGCAUCACUUAAGUCUUCUUGUCUGUGUGAUCUGAAGACUUAUUACACUUGAGGACUGUGAAUCCUCCAGACGGUUAGGCGUCGCGUUCAGAGCAUCCAAGAGACAUUGUGGAUUGCCAGUGAACGAAGUCUGUGAAGGUUUGGGAGUCUACCUUGAAGACUUACCAGAGUGAUUGGGCGAGGACUAUGUGACCUUAGCUCAAGGAGAAUACGGUGAGGACUUGGUGUCCUGAGCUGCGUGUUCAGGACUGGGUGUCCGGGACUGUGUGUCCUAAGGUUUAAAUACCUAGCCGCUCCAACCAGACAUACAAUUGUCACAACAACUGGAACUGGUCCAACACAUCAUUGUCUUCAACGAGUCACUGGUUUCAUCUUCACUUCCUUUUUCUUACUGUUACUCAUUGUGAAGCCAUUGCAUGCUUGCUCUAUCUUUUGUCUUCAUAACGUGAAUGUAUGAUCUGUUUGGCUUCAUAACUUCUUCCCACCUGAUCCUUAUUACACUACAGCUGUUUGUCAUUGCGCUUUCACUUUAUUGAAUACUUGACCAUGGCUGGCCUAGUGUAAUCUAACUUCCGCUGCAUAGUAAUAGGCAUAAUCUUCGCUGUUUGUCUUCAUAACUCCCACGUUUUGAAGACUUUCAUAAAAAUCGCCUAUUCACCCCCCUCUAGUCGAUAUAACGCACUUUCACAGACCAACCUGAAGACAAUGCUCAACCUAAAGACAAUCCCUCUAACAACGACAAUGAUCAGCAAGAGCAAAAUCUUCGCCCUGUACAUCCUCGUGUUGCCAAUGAAGUGCAGAUUGAGAGAAUAAUUGACAGCAUCAAUGCACCUGGUUCGCUCACUCGAUCAAGGGCAACUCAUCUAGCAAAUUUCUGUGGGCACUUCGCAUUCGUCUCAAUAACAGAACCCAAGAAAGUUGAAGAAGCCUUCAUGGAACCUGAAUGGAUUCAAGCUAUGCAAGAAGAGCUUCAACAGUUUGAGCUGAAUAAUGUAUGGGAACUGGUUAAGCGUCCUGAUCCUCGGAAGCACAACAUAAUAGGCACAAAAUGGAUAUACCACAACAAGCAAGAUGAGCAUGGUCAAGUUGUCAGAAACAAAGCUCGUCUCGUUGCUCAAGGAUAUACUCAAGUGGAAGGCAUUGACUUCGAUGAAACAUUUGCUCCUGUGGCUAGACUUGAAGCCAUACGCAUACUGCUGGCCUAUGCCAAUCAUCACAACAUACUUCUAUAUCAAAUGGAUGUAAAGAGCGCCUUUCUCAAUGGCAAGAUUGAAGAAGUGUAUGUUGCACAACCGCCUGGCUUUGAAGAUCCAAAACAUCCUGACAUGGUAUACAAGCUCAACAAGGCACUGUAUGGCCUCAAACAAGCCCCUCGGGCCUGGUAUGACACACUCAAAUACUUCCUGAAGAGCAAAGGCUUCAUACCUGGUUCCCUCGACCCCACUCUCUUCACGAAGACAUAUGAUGGUGAACUGUUUGUGUGCCAAAUAUAUGUGGAUGCCAUUAUCUUCGGCUGCACCAAUCAGAAGUACACUGAAGAGUUUGGAUAUAUGACGCAAGAGCAAUAUCAGAUGUCCAUGAUGGGAGAGCUGAAGUUCUUUCUCGGUCUUCAAAUACGACAGCAACGCAAUGGCAUCUUCAUAUCUCAAGAGAAGUACCUCAAAGAUUGUCUGAAGAAGUUCGGUAUGCAAAACUGCAAAGGCUUCACGACGCCAAUGCCAGCCAAGCAUCAUCUGGGUCCUGACGACAAUGGUAAAGAGUUCGAUCAAAAGGUAUACCGCUCCAUGAUUGGUUCUUUGCUUUAUCUAUGUGCAUCUAGGCCAGAUAUUAUACUUAGUGUUUGCAUGUGUGCUCGAUUUCAAGCGGCACCAAAGGAGUCGCAUCACUUAGCUGUGAAGCGAAUUCUUCGAUAUUUGGCUCACACCCCAACUCUAGGAUUAUGGUAUCCAAAGGGCUCAGAGUUUGAUCUGGUUGGAUUCUCGGAUGCUGAUUAUGCUGGUGACAAGGUGGAUCGCAAGUCUACAUCAGGCACAUGUCAUUUUCUGGGACGAUCACUUGUAUGUUGGUCUUCAAAGAAGCAGAACUGUGUAUCUCUCUCCACUGCUAAAUCUGAAUACAUUGCUGCUGGAUCUUGCCGCGCUCAGCUUCUGUGGAUGAAGCAAACCCUCAAGGACUAUGGCAUUCAUCUGAAGCAAGUGCCACUCUACUGCGACAACGAAAGCACCAUCAAGAUUGCCAACAACCCAGUUCAGCACUCGAAGACAAAGCACAUUGAAAUUCGUCAUCACUUUAUCAGAGAUCAUGUUGUGCAGGAAGAUAUUGAUAUCAUACAUGUCAACACUGAAGAGCAAUUGGCAGAUAUCUUCACCAAGCCCUUGGAUGAGAAGAGAUUUUGCAAGUUACGGUGUGAGCUAAAUAUCCUGGAAUCCUCAAAUGUCCUGUGAUCAGGCACACAUCCUAACACUUAUGCAUAUUGAUGACUUAGAUGUGCAACACACGAAGUAAAGUAUAUCUUCAAUCAAUGAAGACAUACAUUCUAAGUGUGAAUGCAUUAAUGUGGAAUUUGACUUCGGAGUGCCACGAUAAUUGUGCGUCGUGUCUGGGUCUACUACUUCCUAUACGGUGGGUAACGCCACCACCAAACGUUCUGUUUGAAGCGUGUUACUCAUGGCGUUACAUUUGCUAUGUCUUCACAUUUGAUUUGGCUUCAAUCUCAACAUGUCUUCAUGAUUAUCUUCACUAUGUUGAUUAUAUAUAUAUAUAUACUAGUGUUCUGUCCUCUACAGCAUUCACUUAUAGCUAUGUCUUCUUGUUGAAUCUUUUGAACUAAGUGAAUGUGAUCGGACCCUAACCUCUCUAUGCUUUCUAUCUCAAACUCUAUCUCUCCAAAUCAUAUGCAUUCUAUUGAAACUGUCGGAUGUCUUCUCUGCGUCCUUGUCAGUAGAAGAUACAGAGACAAACAUUAAGUCCGUUUUCAAUGCUCAUUCCUUCACAUGAAACCCGGAGAAGUGGGAACGACCACCCGACAAUCCAGGCAUGCGUGGGACGUGGAACAAACCCUAAUAUGCUGCAUGAUGGCCACAUGUUCCUCAGAUGCGAAUCGCCAGGGGCACCUGUGUAAUAACGCAGUGCCGCCCCUGUACCUAUAAAUACACACUUCACAGCGGUCAUUAUCUCUUCUUCCACUCUCGCACGAACCCUAGCGCCACCGCUAGCCCUCGACGACGCCGGCGACGAAGCGCUUCGCUACCGCAACCUCUCCGACGCCGUCUUCACGCCGACCGCGAACAUCAUCCUCUCCGCCGUCGCCGUAGGUGUCCUCCGUCGCCAAGUUAGGGCAUGGAAGAUCGAACUGACUCGGCCUCCUCUUCCACUCCGUCUAGCAGUUCCUAGUGUGGUAAAUAAAACUUCCUUUUUACGACCCCUUUGAUCCUAUGGCUUUGUCACUUUCUACCACAAGUAGUUUCUAUUCACACAAGUUGGAUCUCUUUCAUACUGCAUCUCAUAACAUGCCUAGUAUAUUCACUUAUGCGUCACAAAGUAGUUAGAUUCCUCACUUGUACUGAUCUCUGGAUUCGUACAAAUCUGGAGCCAACUCCUUAUCUAUAAGUGAAUGUCUUCGCACGAUGAGGUCAAUGUCUUCUAAACUGAUUUAUCUUCAAAAUCUUCUGAGAAUGCAUAUGACCUCUUCCCCUUCCCUCGCACCUUAAUGCUGUCACAGGUACAUGUCUGUGGGAGAAUCCCUUGGUUCUCAUAGUCUGCAUUCAUUUGCAGAAUUCUUACAGCAUCAUAUAAAUUCUCCCGAAGCCAGUUCCUGUUUGUCCAGCAAGCGAAAGCCUUUAAACGUAUUGAAGCCUUUCAGUAUAAAGUUCAUGGCUUCAGAGAAAUCAGCAAGGAAGGGUGGCAGAAAGCGUCGUGGAGAAACAUCCAGAGAUCUGUCGGAUCACCUCUCAGAACUGUACAAAAUAGAUCUUGAAGAGGAUUACAAUCAGCGCAAAACACGAAUCCAAUGGAUUCGACGCUAUUGGGAAGAACGGUGGUUCAAGUACAGAUUUGUGACAAAGGAAUAUGCUGAAAAGAAUGCCAUCAAGCGACCAUGGGGAGACAUCCUCUACAAAAAUCUUCAACCCAGGACCAGAGAUGAAGCCAUUGAACAAGGCUUCUAUCCCUGCAUGGUCCGUGGACCACAGCCUGCGGAUGCUGACCCCUCAUCACUGCUAUGGUGUCGUGACGACAUUCUGUUCAAGCGCAACUUUCAGUUUGCCCAGAACUCAGCGAAGCAGAACAAGAAGACAUUGGGACUAGACUUCAACCCUGGUCCUUCUGCUCCAAGGGCUGAUGGCACACGGGAUGCAGAACCCAAUGUCGUCGGUCCUUUCUACAACCUUGAAGGUCUCAUCACCCAUAUCUUGGUUUAAGGGACAGCCGUGAAUGAGCCUGCAGCUGACGCUGAAUCAGAUGAAGCGCCUGCAGCGCCGAAGCCAAAGAAGUUGAAGAAGCCUAAAGCUUCAAAGCCUGCCCCUUCACCAAAAAUCUCACGGGCGAAGCCACUGGCAACUGCACCUCCUGAAGACAGUGUGCAGUCUGAAGAUUUGUCACGCAUCUCCAAGCCCCAGAAGGUCAAGAUGCCUCUGCCACACACCGGCCAAGAGCUAACUGCUGCUGCCAUUCUGCGCAAUGAUGCCAUUGAUCUAUCAAGUGAUGAAGAUCUUGUAGAUGACGCUCUUGAGCAACUCAUCAAGAGCAAAGAAGAAGCAGAAAUCUUCAAUGAUCUACCGCUCUUUGAUGUAACAAUCAUCCACAACUUCAUUGAUGAGUGGUUUGACACGCCAAACAUCAGCUUCGAAGAUCUCCAACUACCCAUUGACCUUAGUGUCGCCUUCCAUGGCGCCAUUGCUUCAGAGUUAGCCAUCGCCCAGCGCAUUGUUGAACUGAAGCAGAAGAUUGACUUUGAGAAAUCUCAGUCCAAGAAGCAUAUGGCCAAGCUCGGCGUGAAAGACGUGAAGAACUUCAAGAUUAUACUGCACGAGCUCAAGGAAGCCUUUCUAAAAAACGUGCAGAAGCUCAGGGUUCUCGUGAGCGCAUGAAGGUCCUGGCUGAUAGGUGUGUGCAAGCCUACAAUGAGGCUGAGAAGCGCAAGGCCCUAGGGCGUCUUGGCAUCGACCCCAGGAUGGCUGCCAAGAAGAAGAAGAAGCCCUCUAUGGCUGAACCCGGAGCACCAAGGCAGGAAGCAGAUCCCCUUGUCUUCCCAACUAGCAUGACUGGCCCGAAGCCAAAGGCCAGGUCAACCGCUUCAGAACUGAAGAAGACCAAGACUGCUGAGGCUGGAGCAAGGAAGAGGAAACAUCCUGAAGCCUCUGCUACUGCCCCCUCCAAGAAGAAAAGAAAGACCAAGAAGGAACGGGCUGCUCCCACAGAGCCCUUGAUUGUUGAACCCAUUUCCAUGGUUCACCCUGACGCUGAUCCACAAAAACGUCAACUGACUAUCCAUGAGCCUGCUUUCACAGAGGCUCAUGAAGCUGAAGACUUUCCAGCAGCUGAUCCCAUCGCUGCUGAAGACAUUGGUCCCCAUGACCAUGUUGAAGAUGAUGCAGUCCUUCCUCAGCUAGAGCACCAAUAGGUAUCAUCGCCUGUGCUAACACACAACGAACUCAUCAGCAUUGGUCGUCCACUGACGCCAAUUGCACAGGAUGCUUCAUGGGCUGAUCGCCCACAAGAGGAAGAAGACUUUGAGGCCCAGCCAACACCAACUCCACAGGCGUCGCCCGCGCUGCGCAGGCUUCACAAAGGGCCAAGGCCUCAAGUCUCUGCGUCUGAAGCUAAACCUGCUGAAGAUAUUCCAGAUGCAUCAGCCGAUGAAGAAGAAGUCCCACAAGUUGCUACUCCCCUGUCCCACCAAGAAGCGGUUCUCGAGGAGAACGUGAUUGUGACCGACCCUCCAGCUCCUCAAGUGGAGGCUGAAAAUCUUGAGGCUGCCACCACCAAUACCAUUGAAGCCACUGACGCUGUCAUGGCUGAAGCUAAUGUAGAGCCCUCACCACCAAAAGCACCAGAAGUUAGCGAAGCCACUGAUCCCACUGCUUUUGUUCCUGCGUCUGCUGCCGGUCCCCAGUUCGACUAUCAUGUUGAGCACAGGCCUCAGGUACAGAAGCCAAUCCCAAGAUUGCCCAGGUUCCCAGGUCCUGCAUCAGCACCUGGCUCCUUUAAUAUCAAUGGCUUCAGAGCAGACAACACAUUCUUCAAUAGCUCCAGGAACCCCUACUCAAGGGAAAGAAUAUCAUUUGAUCGGUUCUGGAGCUAUCCGCAGCGAAGCUAUUACUCAUGUGUUCUUUACAACCAAGGUCGCAUCUUCCCACACAAGCGCCUUGACAUUGAAGCAAUAGCUGGUCUGCCCUGUCUGGAAGAAGCUCUGGAUUGCUUCAAAGAGGUUGGACUGCUGCCGUUCGUCACUGACCAAGAGCAUUGGAAUGAAGAGUUGCUGCUCCAAUUCUAUGCCACACUUCACAUCCGCGGGUAUAACAGAGAUCCGAAGACUUGGGUCCUGGAGUGGAUGACAGGAAACGUUCAUCACGAAGCCAAAGCCUUUGACAUCAUUGAGCUCACUAGUUUGCCCACUCCUGGUGAUCUCUACGAGCAUGGCUGUCAGCUUCAUAGUGAAGCUGUUGAGAGCAUCUUUCAGAAGACUGAACCUAAUAUGAGUCAGAUGCUCAGUAUGAUGAAGCCAUUGCCCCAAGAUGCUGCUUAUCCCACGGAGUUCUUUGUUGAAGACCUUGAGUAUCUGCCAAGGACCAUUUAUCACAUCAUAAGGCGAACUCUCUGGCCAAUCAAAGGACAUUCUCCCCAUGCCAAGCUGGAAGGUGCAAUGAAGACUUUGGUCUUCUAUAUUCUUCAUGGAAAAUGCUUCAAUACACAGGAUUUCUUCAUUCGCCAACUUGCUGCAUCAGGCUAUGAUCUGUUUGGCUUGAAGUUCUACGCCCCUUGGGUGAUGCAGCUGAUCAAACUUCACUCCUCUAUCUCAUAUCAGCCAUCUGCCCGCAAUCAUUGGAUCUUUUUGCCUGAUGUGGAUAUGUCUAUUGAAGCCAUAUAUCCUGAGCCUGCCAAGGAACCUCUAAGUCUUCAGAAUGCAGAGCAUCAAAGUUUUUCUCAGAACGUUGAAGGCGUUGAAGCAGUAACUCGUGUGUAUCGUUUGGCUGGCACUACACGUGCACCGCAUCCUGCUCUCACUGAAGCCACUGAUAGCACCAUUGCCCAACGACCCAAGAAGUGCACUCGUGUUCUCAAUGAUUGAGAUCUUCUGGUGGCUCUUCAUCAGAAACAGGAUAGGCAUCAUGACUGGCCGAAGCGUCAAAUGCAAAGUCUCUUGGUGGAUGUUAAUCGCAUUCGCAAUCUUCUUCACUGAGCGAUUCAAGUUUGACUCCACACCUCCUCGAAGGGCAGUGCUGCGACGAACUCCAUCACUUGAAGACUCUGAGUUCUCUUCCUCUGCUGCAACUGUGAAUGCCAGAGUGAUCGAGGAUGAAGACGAUGCUACUUCACCGCCACUUCCUUCAGCACGCGUCGACACUGCUCCAAGUUCUUCUGCACCGCCAAACACCACUGACGACCCUGCUGCUUCACCUACUCUUCAUGGGAAUGAGUAGAUGCUCUAUGUCUUUCAACCUUUUUGGUCCUUACUGACAAAAGGGGGAGAAGCAUAUGAGUUUGAUAGUCUUCAAGCGGGUCCAUAUAGGCGGGUUGCUUUAUAUUUUGCUUCGUGCUUACAACUCUCAUUUUGAUACAUUUGGUUCUUUGAGUUGUAACACUUAAACUUGAUGGUCGUCUGCUACUUAUUUGCCACCUUGCGUUGCGAUGAUAAAUUCCGCAUGGGCGACGAUAAAUUCCGCACUUAGAUCAUUGUGCAGACGUCCAUUUUCCAUUAUGCAUGUCAUUAUCUUCACAUACUUUCACAUGCAUAGUGGAUUGUCAUCAUAAGUUGAAGUGGAUCUCCACAAGCACAACUUGCCAUGUGCAUUUGCAUUCCAAAACCAAAUUACUUAUAUGCACAUCUUCAGGGGGAGCCCUUGCAACUUAUGAAGGCAAUUCCUUAUCCUUUACAAUUUCACAUAUUAUAUUCCCCGUUGAAAACUUCAACUAGUUUGUCAUCAAUCACCAAAAAGGGGGAGAUUUUAAGUGCAUCUAGUGCCACCCCUAGUUGGUUUUGGAGUAUUGACGACAAACCUAGUUGAGGGACUAAUGUGUUUGUGAGAAUUGUAGGAUAACACAGGUAGAAGUCCCUCAUUGAUUCGGUUUUCCUACCAGAGAUGACCCCUAAAAAUGUAUGAAGAUAUUGAUGUCAAAGGUGGUAUAUGAAGAUAUUCACAUUGAAGACUAUGACAAGAGAAGACACCGCAUGAAGCCUAUGGAGUUCGAAGACUUAGAUCUUUUGUAGUUCUUUUUCUUCUGUGUUGAGUCAUAGGAACCACCGUACUGUUAAGUGGGGUCCAAGAGAACCAGUCAGAAUGACUGAAGUGAUGCUUAAACAAAACCUAUGUCUUUGAGUGAAGACUAUGAGAGCGAAUCUUGUCCAGAGUCGGACAAGUCAGCUUUGCUUGUAGCCCAAGUAAAGUUGCCGUGUGAGUUUGAAAUCUGACCGUUGGAACACGUGUCAGUUCCUUAGUGACCCAGGGUCAUUUCGGACAAAUCAGGUCGGGUUGCCUAGUGGCUAUAAAUAGCCCACCCCCUACAACCAUAAACGGUUGGUUGCUCAGAUUCAGAGUACGGCUUUUGUCGUUUGAGAGCAACCCACCUCGAAGCCUUUGAGAGAGAAUUCCUUGCGAGGAUAAAGCCCUAACCACCCAGAGCCAAAGAGAAUUAGGCAUCACUUAAGUCUUCUUGUCUGUGUGAUCUGAAGACUUAUUACACUUGAGGACUAUGCAUCCUCCAGCCGGUUAGGCGUCGCGUUCUGAGCAUCCAAGAGACAUUGUGGAUCGCCGGUGAACGAAGUCUGUGAAGGUUUGGGAGUCUACCUUGAAGACUUACCAGAGUGAUUGGGCGAGGUCUGUGUGACCUUAGCUCAAGGGGAAUACGGUGAGGACUGGGUGUCCUGAGCUGCGUGUUCAGGACUGGGUGUCCGGGACUGUGUGUCCUUAGGUUUAAAUACCUAGCCACCCUAACCAGACGUACAGUUGUCACAGCAACUGGAACUAGUCCAACAAAUCAUUGUCUUCAACGAGUCACUGGUUUCAUCCUUCCCUUCUCCUUACUUACUGUUACUCCUUGUGAAGUCAUUGUAUGUAUGCACUAUCUUUUGUCUUCACUGAGUGACUGUGUGAUCUGUUUGGCUUCUUAAUAUCUUCCUACCUGAUCCUUACUACCUAGCUGCUAUUAGUCAUUGUGCUUUCACUUCAUUGAAUACAUGACUAUGGUUUAUCUAGUGUAGUCUACCUUCCGCUGCAUGGUAAUAGGUUUAUUUCUAUCGUUUGUGUUCGAAACUUCCAUGUUUUGAAGACUUUCAUAAAAAUCGCCUAUUCACCCCCUCUAGUCGAUAUAACGCACUUUCACGAGGACAUUUGCAUGAAGCAAUGGAGCCAAUAAAGGAGCAAAACAAAUAACCAAACAUCCCUUAAGAACGGGCACCAGAGAAGCAUGUGCCGAGAUUCUCCGAGCUUGGUCCCAUGGCUUGCGACAACUAGGGUGUGGAAGCGAGAUAUGUGCAUGAUUGCGUAAGCAAUCAAAGAGAAAUUUCAAAGAAUGAAAAGGCAAAAAGGAGGCGAAGAUGUCUCACAUAGGGGGAGGGGUCCUCUCAUCCAUGAUCCCCAUGGGGGAAACUCUAGGUUCUCAUCAUCGGCUAAACUCGAAAGCUACAUAGCUCUUCUAAUCGCCACCAUUGAUACCAUCAUUACAAUCGAGGGCCUACAAUCCAUGGAAAUCCCUAUUCCGAUCUUCUUUGUUCGGCUUUCACAAGCAAGAUACCUUGAAGCAGGUGACAGUCUAUAGCCCAAAAACUACCCAUGGGAUUUCUUUGUCUUUUCCUUAUCUUUUGUCCGGUGAAGAAUCUCCUGCUGCAGAGAUAAGAUGAAUGGCUUCGAGAUACCAUCACUCGCCCUGACCCGAGUCCCCUAGCCUCUCAGCUUCAGCAGUUGUUGUAAGGAGAAGUAGCAGGAUUGUUAGUUUAUGUGCCGAGCAGGCAAAGGCAGAAGUGGAAGGGUCAAACUCCUCUAUCGGGGAAAGACAGGAAGGAUAAAAGUGUAAAAUCACUACUUCCACUGAUUUCUUGCGGGAAGGUUCUAUAAGGGAAGAAGAAUCAGAGCUGAUGAGAAGAGGGCUGAGUCGUCUAGCUUUUAUUCCAAAAUCACGUAUCACCGAUCAGCCUAUUCGAGAGGAGCUGCUUGCCUUGCCCACUUCAAUAAGGAAGACUCCAUCAAUAAAGAAGAGCUUCUUGUUUCCAAGCGGAACUCGAAUGGGCUGCUAGCAGAUUUGUUGGGGAUGGCAAGUUAACACCGUGGCUUCUUCGCGCAAGCACUUGGUUCGCCCCUUACUAUAACCGCCACAAGUCUAGUAUAGAAUCUGCUCUUUAAGGUCGAGAAUCUGCUCUAGAAGGUCGAUGCUUAAAAAAGAGGUGACCCGAAUGAUUUCAAUGAAUUGCUAUUUGGUCAGAUUGGAACAAUUGGAUUCGAAAGUCUCAGCGGCAAGGAAGAGAAAAUGCAUCGAGUCGUUUAUCAAGAAAGUGGACGAGCAUGGUUGAAGCAGUGGAGUGAAGAGGAGGGUUGGGUCCCGCCUCACAACGAGCCCGGGUAGCUAGACCAUUUUAUUAGAUUUUGCCUCUGCUGAUCCUGCUCAUGCUUUUUUUUCUCAAUUGGUAAAGUCUCUCAGCCUUGCGAAGUGGAAAAAGAGAUGGGCAGCUGCUUUGUGAAUUUGAUACUAGGUAGUUCUCCCCCCUCGGCAGGCAAGUAGCCCUAGCCUUUUAUGAGAGUCAAUUGGGAAGUGGAAAGGCAAGAGGCCUUCUAUAUGUUAAGGGAGAGAGGGGAGAGUCAUUCCAGAGUUGGGUGGGAAUCGUUGAUAGAAAUUUGGAUUUUCCCUGAGAUUACGAAAAAUUGGAUCGGAUUUUGCAGUUCUUUUUUCUGCAGUACCUCGACGUGACAUGAGCGUGAAAGAGGUUCAAGAAUCCGUUUUCUAAAUAUAUAAAAGAGGGGGAAUGGAUUCUACAAGAAAAGGCGGGCAAAGGUAGUUCAGGGAUUGCAAUUUUUCUCGCAUUUUAGUUUUUUCACUCAAACUCAAGGGAGAAACUUUGCUUCUUAUCUUUUUUUUUAAAGAUUGACGAAUAAAAUGAUAUUUCUGUCCACAUGCAUGAGUAGGCCUGUUGCUGGGAUGUCCCAUUAAAAAGGCAGGUCCCAUAUUUGAAAUACAAAAAUAAGAUCAGUGCUAUCAAUAAAUAACUAGCUGACAAUAUGCUAUGCUUACUCUCCGAGCACUAAAGCUAUCGAGAAGUAUCUCCAGGUAACUCCAUCUUUUUCAGCUCUGCUCGCUCACUUUUGAAAGGAAGACUUAGUUUUAGAUCGGCGUUGGUUUUUCCAGAAUCAGUCCGUCCGGUUAAGCAUUGGGGAGCUGAUAGGUCGAACGGAGUGGUGCCAGAGCUCUAAAGUGGCUCUAAAUAUCCAUUUCUUUGAUUUUCCUGUGUGCUUUUUAGGCGGCAUCAUCUAAGUUCGAGAACUUUGGAUACUUAAAGGCUGCAGCACAUGCUAAGUGUUGACUGAGAUUCUUUUUUUCCGACAGGGAAGCCAUGCUCCAUCCUGUUUCUAAAAAGAACAUCACCUCCCUUUUUGGUUAGAUACCGCUCCGUUAGGUACUAAUGCUUCUACCUAUCACCCGGAGGGUGAGUUUGAGAGCUGUGUUUUUUUCCAACGUUAAUAGCAUUCCGCGAGAAAAGUCAUCUACUGAUGUUGUCAGCGGAGUCCCUCGUCCAUCCAUGUAUGAAUAGCGAAUCCCGAAGGGGAGGCUCUAGUUGCCAAGUAAGAAAAGAUCUCGGUAGUUCAAUUCAUGCAUGUGAAAGCUUAUCUGCCAGAUACAGAUGAUACUUGCCACUACUUGACCGAAACUGGGACUUGUUGUGAUAAUAGGCCGGCCAGUCCGGAACGUAGAGCAGAUCUAUCAGAGAACAGGGAGCAGGAAAUUCUUGCUCGUGCCGGCCUGUAUUCGGAGUUUCUUGGAUUUGCGGUGCCUGAAUGCCUUUCUCCUUCUUUUUGGUGACGUCGGAUGCCCGCCUUUGGUGCUCAGAAGUGGAUUCUCCUUCAAAGAGGGCCGGAAUUCGACCCGCUAUUAAUGUGGGUAUUUUAGUUUCCAGAGUAGGAUCCGUGGCUCAAAUUAAAGCCAUGAAACAAGUAGCUGGCAAAUCCAAAUUGGAACUAGCUCAAUUCGCAGAGUGACAAGCCUAUUAUUCGCCUCUGCUCUCGAUAAAACAAGUAUGCUUUAGCGAGUGAACUAGGUUUUUAUUUGAGAGCGAACUAGGUUUUUAGUGGUAUUCCUUCUCAGUCAUCCUUGUUUUGGUACCGGAUUCAACUUGUCGAGGCUUCUGCUCGUAACGUCACUCACUGGAUCAAAUCAAAGGGCUCGGUUUCUGCUCCUCGGCAAAGGCAAAGUCAAUUCAAUAGGAAUCCGAAUUUGGGCGACGGAAUGUGUUUUACAAUAAGUUCCAACGUUUGAGUAAUUGAACUUGCUUCUUCACUUAAUGCUUGCUUUCCGUCUUGCCUUUGCCGGAGGGAUCUCUCUAUGAAUGGAAAAGGGGUGCUUCGGAUCGGGAGUAACCACUUUAGAAAGGGCAAAGGGGGGAAGGACAUAGGAAAGAGGGAUGCCUAGUCUGAAUUUGAAACGCAAUCCGGCAGAGAAAAGAAACUUAAGUAACCACCAGUUGAAACUGAGCGAGGAUGCCUCUCCUAAUGGAAGUUACGGGCCCAAACCGGGUUAUGAGCUCAACGAAAAAAAAACUAUUUUGUGAAAUUGCCUGCAAAACCGCCUUGCGAGCGUUAGCGUCAGCGUCAGCGCCAUCUCCCGAUGGACCUCAAUGAACCAGACCUCGAGAAUUCGUUCAUCCCUUCGCUCCGAGGAUUGGUCGAGUACUUGGCCACAUGCAUGAGUAGGCCUGUUGCCGGGAUGUCCCAUUAAAAAGGCAGGUCCCAUAUUUGAAGAUGGGGCGAGAGAGGGAAAAAACCCUUCGGGAUGGAUCGGGAAAAGUGACCUCCGGCAGCAGCUAGACCCAUAUCUUUUGAUGGCGAGCAUCGAUCGAGAUCCUUCGGUGAAAGCUAGAACCAACUCUGCGAGGAAAGCGCUGGAGAAGAAAACUCAGCAAAGGAGAUUCCUAUCCUUUCUCUAGUUGAAGACUAAUCUGGAUAUUCCCGAAGAUGCUUGAAGCUUUUCCACCAUUUUUCCCCUUUGGCAUUUGGAUCCAUGUUUUCUUUAACGAUCUCCGUGAUAGUAAAGGUUUUUUUGGUAGCCUUUGCUUUUGACGGCGAUGAAAGAAAGAGAACCCCUCCUAUCUUUUGAUCGUGGUCAAAAUCCUAUCCAAGUCCCCUUUUGUCCCGACCAGUAACAAAGGAGAAAUUCCCCUGCUUGUUAGGAGUUCCUUUAGUUUGCAGUUGAGUGCAGCCGGAUGGUUCUCAAUGCCAAUUGAAUCAAUGUUAUUAGCUGUCAAUUUGAACUUUUUGGUAUUUUCCGUUUCUUUGGAUGAUAUGAUGGGUCAAUCAUUUGCUUCAUUAGUUCCAACAGUGGCAGCUGCGGAAUCUGCUAUUGGAUUAGCCAUUUUCGUUAUUACUUUUCGAGUCCGACGAGGUUUAAAGGUACCUUUUCCCGUUGUCUGCUUUGCCUUCGUACGACUUUCCUUGGCAAACUAUCCCAAAAAAGGAAUGGGCUUUUUCAAAAUCAAAGCGUACUCGUCAGGGUUGAGUUGAGGGGGCAGCCCGUGCGCUAAUUGGGCUUCGAGGUGGCUAUACGCGAAAAAAGCUCGCUUUCUACUGAGGCAUGUUCUGUCCUAAACUGGGGAAAGGUAUCUUUUUUCAAUUCGAACAACGGUAUCCCUACCUGGCAAACUAUCCUCGUUUUCGAAGUCCCUAGUUUUGUCCUCUGCUGUAGUAUUCCGGUUAGUAGACGGCUUCCUUUACCCCUACCCGGGCAGACAACCUCCCUCAUUCACAUCAGAAAUGGCAAAGAUUCCAUUUUGGAAAGUCAAUCUCUUUUUGUAUAUAUAUAAAAUAGCAAAAGUACGGUUUGGAGUCUUUUCUUUCUUAUUUGAAAUCGAAAGCAAACAGUACGGGUGGAGGAGUUACCGUGGGCACCGUGUUGGUUCAAUCUCUCUAUAGGUAGUGUGAAAAACCCUCAAUUCAAGAGUUCCUGUUGACGGUCCCAUUCCUUACUCUCUUUUUCAAGCAGAGCCAUUUCUUUCUACUGUCGUCAAAAGAAAAAGAAAAGUACUAAAGGCGAAGGACUCUCCUGGCAAAGAAUCUGAACGAUCUGAGUUCUUUUCUGAGAAAGAAGAAGAUGCAAGGCCUCGGAAGCACCAGACCUAUUCGUUUCACUCGAGAAAGUCAUUUGCUUCACCGGUUCGAUAUGCGAUAUCAAAAUCCGAAGAUACCUGAUGAUAAGUAUGUUAUCGAAGCGUUAAAGCGAGAAUUCACAUCUGUAAAAGAUUCCCACAUUCCGUGAGAUUCGUUGCCUACCAAAGAAAGGUGCAAAUAAUCCAUUUUAUUAGAUUUUGCCUCUGCUGAUCCUGCUCACCGCGGGUGAUUAUGCCCUAAAUUCUCAGGAGUGGUGGAACGGAUUGCUCCUAUCUAGGGUUUCCUAGCUUGCUUUCCUAGAUUUAGCUUUAUCUAUCUUUCCCUCAGGUACCCUUUUCAUCCACUCCUUCAUCCGCUGAUUGUCGCUGUCGAUGCCCAGCUAUUUAGUUUGGAAAGUGUUAAUCCGAGUAGUGAGCCCUGUGGCAUACCUCUGAAGGUACCAACGCUUGUCGUUGUGUUAAUGGAUCAAAUACGUAACCUACCUUGUUUUGUUGACUUAUUGCUUUCCAGCAAAGCGUGCCGGCCCUAUCUCUAAAGCACCAAACUUCCACAUUUUAGGAGAUGCCCUAUCUUCCCUUACUUGAUUAGUUAGAACUUCUCUGUCUCAACUCGUGGACCUAUCUAUCUUCUUCUUUUUAAGAGAUAGGGGUUUGCUAUUCUCAUGGAUUGCUUCAUCAGGAAUGGGUAGAGGAUCGAAGAGGCCAGGGAGUUUUUAAUGUUCUACCUUAGCUUGCUGACAGAUUUGACACUUGUUGACAAAAGAUUCCACUGAUUGAAAGAUUCCUGUCCAAGCAAAUAGUGCAACACAGCCGGAGUCACGAGGCUCGAUAAUGACCAAUGGGUUAGGAUCUGAGGAAGCUUAGUUUGGAUGAUGGAAUAUUCGCUGUUCUGAUUGUUGAGAUACUGCAAAUCCACUUAUCCAACAAUUUCAGUCCAUUUUCCUACUAGACUUGUGGCUUCAGGAGAUGAAAAGCUUGAUGAACCCCGACCCACUAGACCAAGUGAGUGAUGUUGCAUUUCGAGCACAGGCACCUUUGACCUAGCUAAAAAGACAGCAGCGAGCUCCUCGUCGAAAAGCGAAGCGAGCCGCGGAUGUCACGCAUCAGCAUGAUCUUCUGGUUGAAAGUCCUUCUAUUUUGCUCUAGCCAGAUCUCCAAGAGAUUAGCAUCACUAGAGAUCUUAUGUUCUUCUUGCCUUUUGCCUUUGGAAUGAUGGUGUUCUAUGCGACGCCCACAGGUUCCACGACUCCUUCGAGCACAGCUAGAAUGCCAUCAGUUACUAAGCACCCACGAAAAGAGAGCUCCUGGUGCGUUGGGGAUGUGUGUGUUGCUUGUGGCCUCACUUGUCAUCCACUCUAUCACAUUUUCUUCGUCAGGGUCACGUCUUGAGGCUUGGUGUAACUUAAUGGGCUACUCCGCACUGCUGUGGCUGCGUGUUGAUGGCGGGGUGGCCCAUCCUGUGAGGCCCUUAAGGCGUGCUUGAUGUCUAGCAGAUCACACCAGGGUUCAUCGUCGAUGGGGAACCGUAAAACGAUGGCCAUGAACUCAUGUGCCACCGUGACAGCGACAACGAGUUCUCAUUGAUAUGUGAAGCGAGCCAUGUACUUUCGUGCGCCAAAAUAUCUUAACUUGCUUUCUGUUUCUUUCCUCCACGCUGGAGCCAAAAGACUCAAGCAGAUAAAACGCCGCUUCUUGUCCUGAGUGAAAACUCUUCUCCUGAUCUUUAUUGGCCGGGCUUAGUAGCAACGAACUUGCGUCAUUUCCUUGUUGAAAGCGUUGUCUACUUGUUGUUGUGUUGAUCUCAUUGGUUGGUCUCGACAAGCAGGAUGAAAAUCAUUGUCCAGGGUGUCCCCGGCCGGACAUGGCGAUGAUUGCGCAAGAACGUUUACUCCCUCUUGAAGGUGUUUUUUGGAAAAUUCAACUUAGCCAUAUGUGUUUUUCAUAUAUUGUAACUGUUCAACGGUGAUUGUGUGCAUCACUAUAAUGCAGAGGCCGGUGGUUCGAACCUCCUUUUGGAGAAGAAAACGACACGAUGAGAAAGUUCUUCAGUUCCAUUAAUGCAGAUAAUUUAGUUAACAAUAUCUUCCUCGCCAAUAAUCAUCCGGGUCUCGUCAAUCCAAUCUAAAGUUUUCAAUAUUGAUACUGUUUCUGGUAAUUGUUAUGUUAUCUUAAUGUGUCUAAGAGCAUCUACAAACGGGCACCCUAAAUCCCCUUCAAACACCCGGGCGGACGGCCCAGCCAGUGACCGGUAAAAAAACCUCGUAUCCAUCCCAAAUGUGGGGCGGAUAUGGGGAGGCUCGGGCGCGACCGAGCGCGUCCGCCACGUCGGACUGGCGAUGGGGUCCCAUACAAAUACACUUUGAAACCCGGCGGUCUGAAGCUCGUCUCCUCCAUCGGACUGAUGGUGCCGUGUGGCGCCACUCUGGCGGGCGGUGUAGUGCCCUAGCUCGGCUAUUUCAACCAACUGCCGGCACUGAAACCCUAACCGUCCACAUCUCCCCCCUCUCGUCCGCCACCGUCAACACUUUCCAAUCUCCAUCUACCACUGAGGGAGUCCUGGAUAAGGGGUCCUCGGGCGUCCGGCCUGUUAGCCAUGGGCCGGACUGAUGGGCUGUGAAGAUACGAAGACCGAAGACUGCACCCGUGUCCGGAUGGGACUCUCCUUGCAUGGAAGGCAAGCUUGGCGACCGAAUAUGUAGAUUCCUUUCUUUGUAACCAACCUUGUGUAACCCUAGAUCCUCCCGGUGUCUAUAUAAACCGGAGGACUUAGUCCGAAGAGAGAGAGAGAGAGACAUUAUCAUAACCAUACAAGCUAGACCUCUAGGGUUUAGCCAUUACGAUCUCGUGGUAGAUCAACUCUUGUAAUACUCAUAUUCAUCAAGAUCAAUCAAGCAGGACAUAGGGUAUUACCUCCAUAGAGAGGGCCCGAACCUGGGUAAAACAUAGUGUCCCCUGUCUCCUGUUACCAUUGACCUUAGACGCAUAGUUCGGGCCCUCCUACCUGAGAUCCGCCAGUUUUGACACCGACAUUGGUGCUUUCAUUAAGAGUUCCACUGUGCCGUCAUUCAGAGGUUCGAUGGCUCCUUCAACCAAAUACAACGAUGCUGCCCAAGGAGGAGUUUUCCUUCCUGGACAGAUCUUCGUGUUCGGCGGCUUCGCUGUGCGGGCCCACUCGCUUGGCCAUCUGGAGCAUAUCGAAAGCUACGCCCUAGCCAUCAGGUCAGAUUUGGGAGCUUGAACUACGUUGCGGACAUCCAUGGGGACUUGAUCUUCGCCGGAUUCGAGACCGCGGCUACCACUCCUGGCCACCCCGAGGGACAUGACCUAAAUCUGUCAUCGGAGCGCAUCCAGGAGACAGCUCCCAUAACCGCUCUGGCCUUAGAUCCAGAGCAAACUGCGCCAUCCAAGGACGGGAGGUUCGACCCCACCACGGAGGCCACAGAUUUCACGGUGUUGGAGCUGCACAUAGACUUGAUCUCACACGAUAUCCGUUGACGGUGUCCUGGACUAGGGGGUACUCACCACGUCAUCUCCCGAUCUGUUAGAUUGGGCCGAAGACCCCCGUGGCCGUAUACUCAUGGGUCAGUUCGGACAGCUGGCGCAUACAAGGAAGAUUCCACAAGACUUAGUGAUCAAGACAAGGACUCCUCCCCACCGGCGUACUCGGCUAGGACUCUUGUUAUCCUAGGCCUCUGGUGCAUUAUAUAAACCGAGGCCAGGCUAGUCGAUAGAUCAUAUACAACAACAAUCAUACCAUAGGCUAGCUUCUAGCGUUUAGCCUCUACGAUCUCAUGGUAGAUCAACUCUUGUAAUACUCAUAUCAUCAAUAUCAAUCGAGCAGGACGUAGGGUUUUACCUCCAUCAAGAGGGCCCGAACCUGGGUAAAACAUCAUGUCCCCUGCCUCCUGUUACCAUCCGCCUUAGACGCACAGUUCGGGACCCCCUACCCGAGAUCCGCCGGUUUUGACACCGACAUUGGUGCUUUCAUUGAGAGUUUUGCUGUGUAUUCGGCAAAAGGUUGAUGGCUCGCCUGCAGAUCAACUGCGAUUUCGGCAUCUUCGUCACCAACUCGACUGGUCACCUUGGUUUGACCAAGGACUGCGUCCUACCUCCGAUCGUCAUGUUCGGAUUAGGGCCUUUAUAAACAUCAACUCCGAUCUCCAUCAAGAUCAUGGAGGAAUCAUGCAGGGAGCUCGGGGGCUCAACGUCAACAUUGCCCUCAGGCGACCGUGCUGUUUUUCUGGACAGCAAACUUGUGUCCGCCGCCACCGCCUCCUCAAGUGUCUUUUUAACGAUCGCUUUAGUGGAAUUGUGCGGAAUUGAGUCUAUAAAAACCUUGAAAAAUUUCAUCGAGUUCUGAUGGAGGAAUCUCUGGCAAUCCACGAUAUACCGGAGCCCUGUCAAAUCUGGACGGGAAUCUGGAUGAGUUUAGGGCGUGGUGUCCAGCUUCUAGCUCGGACGUUCUUUGGAAGAUCCAACCGUUGAUCGGUUGCGCAAUUUGUAUAUCUAUCACCUCUCAAAAUUUCAGCUCGAUCCGACCGUCCAAACUCCGGGAACCUUCCGAUUAGUGCAUCACUUUUCGGAUCUGUUUUCUGCGCAAAAAAUGAAUCCGACCCGAGUUCGUCUUUUUUAUAAACGGGAUUUCGGACAUCCCUUUCGAAGGAAGUUUUGUAUGGGGUAUUGUGUUUUGGUUUCGAACACAUCCCACUAACUUUAAGAUCUUUUGAACAUGAUCUUCAACAUCAUACUGGUGUCAAACCACUCCGGCAAUAUUCCUCCACGGCUGCCGACCUGCGCUAGACACGUCGUCACUUUGUUGAGCCGAGCUCAACUUCUUCGGAUCAUCAUCUCGGAAAGCCGAACAAAAGUCCGGCAUCGCGAAGGAUAAUUAUCACCAACAUCGCCGCCACACGGAUUACACGGAGCAGGCAUACCGGCAUCGCCGCACGGUCGCUUCAUCAAGCCGGCAUCGACCACGUCACGACCUGCAUUGGCAGGGCCGCACUAUUGCUUCUUCAAGCUGGUGUCCAUCACGCCGACCUACUUCGACUCAUCGGCUGACAUCGAGGCUCCGUCACCUCGUCUAGACCGAGGACUUGGCUAUUUCUUCAUCAACAUACUCCGGUGACUUCGGCGUCACCAGCCGACCAGCUUCGUCACGUUAGCUGGAUCGAGGGCUUCGCCUCGGCAAGCCAACCUUUGCCAGCAUCACCGGGCCAUCGCUUUAUCGCCCAUCAGGCAAUGGAUGUGCGGAUCGAUUCCUGAUUUUGGGAGUCGCUUUUCUUCGGAAUGCUACAACAAAUAAACCAGGUGCUAUUAAUCCUAACAAUUUUUGCUUGUUGGGUUUAUUUUUCUUAAGGAAUUAUUACUCUGGUUUGUUCCAUCAUCUGUAUACAGGUCUAUCAAAUGGCGGCCACAUUAAAAAUGGUCACGUGGUGGUUCAGUCAGUUUCCGUACAUUGUUCGGCGAACGCCGCAUCCGGAGCCCGGACCACCCUGCAAAUUCAGGCUUUGUCAUGCCUUCACUGUGUCACGCCGAUGCCCUGCAUCGACAUUAACUUCGGCGCCAGGCCAUAUUUCUUUUAUUAAUCACUUUGCAUAAAUUAUUUAUUAUGCAACAUUUUAUUAUUAUUAUCAUUACUAUUAUCUCCAGUUUGCACUAUUUCUUAUGCACUCGAAAAUGAUUCGGGUUGGGCAGUAUCGUCAACUCGGCGUACUGACAUACCACGUCACCUCGGCUAGAUGGGGGGCUUCGUCAAGACUUCAUUACCCCAUGCCGGGGACUUCGGUAUCACUCUGCCGGCCUGCAUUGGCCGUGCUAUGUCACCACUUCGGCGUGCCGAGCUCUUUGCUCCGCCACCUCGGGACCGGCUUGGGGGAUGGAACCUUGUCCCGCAUCAAGCUUGGACCACAUCAUCAAUACGAACACAUUAACCAGCUAAGUUGCCUUCAUGCUCCAAGUUUUAAAUUUUUUAUUUGUGUCCGGUUCGACCAAGCAUUAUACUUUUUUGGAAAAAAGUUGCUUGUAAAAAAUCUCCUUGUCAAAACUUUGUUUGUGACACACAAAUUCAAGGACCCAAUUCACUUGGGGGCUUCCUUUAUUAAGCUUUUCCUCUUGCAUAUGAUUAUACUUGUACAGCUUCGUUCCUUGUUCGUGUAUUAUGCCACAAUAUGCACCAUAUUAACUUAAGCGAUUUGCAAGCUGGGUUGCCUCGCUCCUGUGUUUACCCCUACGUUCCCGAUUGUUCGGCUAGGGAGUAAAGGGAGCACCUCUGCGAUUGUCACGAUCGGGUCAUCCGAGCCGGACCUUAGAGUGGGUGAAGCCGAAAGCUAGCGCUCUAAUAGUUUUCAAUGAUGGUCGGCACACAACGGAACUCAUGAGUACAAAAAGUCUAUUGCACAAGUCUCAUAAUAACAAUGAGCACCGAAGAAAGGUAUCGGUGGGGGUACUAUUUUCUUCGAAGAUGCUUUUUACACUUCGCGGUAAUAUAGCAUAAGUUCCUUGAGCGCGCUUUGUCUGUUACAGCCUUAUGGCCUGAUUGCCUGGUUAUUGGAAACACUGUCGAUAUUCUCGACAGAUGGAGUACAUAACACUUUUCGGUCCUUGACCGAAGAGGGAGAAGCCGACGGUCGGUUAAGACGCGUUUAAAGUUCGGUUGAACAUAGAUAUGAUAUAAGUACUUCGGUACAUGCAAUCAUUCUUUUACCCAAGUCACUUGGGGGCUCUUAAAUUUAUUUGAGCUGUUUUAUAAUAAGUGUUCUUCUUCUUAGUCGUUGCAAAGUAUUAUUAUUAUUAUUAUUAUUAUUUAUCACUCCUUUUUUCGACAUGAGUGUGUGGUCACUAGCCGGGGAGCCUAAUUUCUCUCUCAAAGCCGCUAGAGUUUAGUUUGCUAAGAUGGCCUAACGAGAAGUACUCCGCCUUCGGGAUAGGAGGUUGAAGCCGUAGGCUGACCCGCUUGAAGUCUUGAGAUAGAAUGUGUCAUGUUAAAGCACGACAUAAGCAUUUUUUUCUAAAGCCAAUUUUCGGAUUGGCACCGAACACUUGAUCUUGUUCGGACGUCAAGUUUUUACUGAUGUUUUUUGGUUUUCCAAGCUUGUGGCACUUUUAAACUAUUUAUGUGUUUUCAGCACAAGUCUCGCAGUGCAACGCCGGACACCCUCAGAGAUUCGGCAAAAACAUUCUCGGAUAUUGCUAUAUAUGCAUCGGUUUCGAAUUGUGUCUUCGGUCAAUAGUUGGGUUGCCCGGCUCCUGCGCUUGCCUCCUAUGUUCCGCUUUGUUCGGCUAGGUGUGCAAAGGGAGAACCACUACGAUUGUGCUUCUAGCUCACAUGGUUAAGCACCUCAAUGGAGAAAGCUGAAAACUGACUAUCACAAUAAGCGUAAACUGGUCAGCGAUCCGAUGACGGUGUUAAAUGACGGGCCAUUCAUAACAAUGGCCGAAGUGUUUACGACCUGACCUUGACUGUCGCCGAACACUACCGGGGGCUAUUAACUGGCCUCCCAAACUAAAUCCUCGAUAUUUUGCUCUUACAUUGGAGCUGAGGUUUCAUGAUCAUGCUUAGCAUGACAACCCAAAGAAAGGAGCCGAUAACGGGACUAUUUUCUUUGGAAGACAUUUCUUCUGUUAAACAAUAAUAUAACAUAUCUCUCUGUGUACCUUUGUUUAUAAAACCGUAUGGCCAGAUUGCCUUGUUUGUUGUAAAUCUUUGCCCUCAUAAAGGCUUUAUAAAGUAGGACAGACACUCCUUGGCUAUUGGCCGAGGAGGUGAAAGCCGAUAGUCGGUCAACAAAGUUUUGUACAAUGCGGAUCCAAACAUUAAUGACGUAAAGUACUUGGAUACAUAGAGUCAUUACACAUAAUUUGUGAUUUUACUAUGGAUAUCAAUCCUUAAUUUGGCCACCCAUGCCCGCAUUAAGGCUCGGGGGCUACUGGGCUUCGGGCUUAUUAUUUACAAAUAUUAAAAGGGCACAUUGAUCCCCUGAUCUGGUGUUGCCACCCGACCAGUGUCUUGGGGGCUACUGCAUUGCCUAUCCAAUGCAAAAAAAUUAAGUGUAAUACAGUUUCCGAGGAGAUUUUGAUCCUCAGGUUGGUCGGCCGCACCCAACCUGAGUCUCGAGGACUAAGCACGCCGCUUUUUGUGUCCCGAAGUAUUCCGCCGAGCUAGGACUUGAUCCUCAGACCGAUUUUGCAAAUCAACCCGAGUCUCAGUGGCUACUGGGAUCAGCGUCUUAUGUCAUCCUUCAUGCGCAUCUCGGGUUUUAGACCGAUACCCACCUUGAGGGCUACUGGCUGUAUAUCUCGGUAGAGAAUAAAUUGCACCAAUCAAAAAUAUUGACAAAAAUGGGCCCACAUUCGGGGUGGUGCACCACCUUGGAAGCAGUCCGGCAUAAAGCUCGGGCGCUAGUGGCUGGCUCCAUAGAGGGCAUUUCCGGCAUUAAGCUCGGCUAAACUCCUUCAAACUUAUUUGAACCAAGGUGAUUUACGAUACCUCGGAUACAGUCCGGUGUUGGAGCUCGGAUACAUUCCGGCGUUAGAGCUGGGAAGCAGUCCGGCGUUGGAUCUCGGAUACAUAGUCCGGCGUUGGAGCUCGGAUACAGUCCGGCGUUGGAGCUCGGAUACACAGUCCGGCGUUGGAGCUCGCAUACAUUCCGGCGUUAGAGCUGGGAAGCGGUCCGGCGUUGGUGCUCGGCUGCAAAAGAUACUUCGAAUGCAGUCCGACGUUGGAGCUCGGGCGCAAGAGGACACUGCCUCCCGGGAACAACUUCAAACCCGAGGUGUGUCAUAAAAAUAACAAGGCAUUGAUAAAGGCCGGAAACUUAAAGGGGCUCCUCGGAUACCCGACGUGUAAACCUGUCGAAUGCAUUUCGGCGAUCCUCAAUAUCGAAGAUGAGAAGAUUUGUUGAACCAGUUUUCAAGACCGACGACCGAAGAUGAAGAAUGGUUCGGAAGAAUCGAGGAGCGUCCCUAACUUGAAGACCAGUUCAGGGGGCUACUGACAGUGUCCUGGACUAGGGGGUACUCAUCACGUCAUCUCCCGAUCUGUUAUAUUGGGCCGAAGACCCCCAUGGCCGUAUACUCAUGGGCCGGUUCAGACAGCUGCCACAUACAAGGAAGAUUCCACAAGACUUGGCGAUCAAGACAAGGACUCCUCCCCACCGGCGUAUUCGGCUAGGAACCUUGUUAUCCUAGGCCUCUGGUGCAUUAUAUAAACCGAGGCCAGGCUAGUCGAUAGAUCAUAUACAACAACAGUCAUACCAUAGGCUAGCUUCUAGGGUUUAGCCUCUACGAUCUCGUGGUAGAUCAACUCUUGUAAUACUCAUAUCAUCAUCAAUCAAGCAGGACGUAGGGUUUUACCUCCAUCAAGAGGGCCCGAACCUGGGUAAAACAUCGUGUCCCCUGCCUCCUGUUACCAUCCGCCUUAGACGCACAGUUCGGGACCCCCUACCCGAGAUCCGCCGGUUUUGACACCGACACCCAUGCCACCGGAACUCCGGUUUCGUUUCCGGCCAUAAGUUCCGAACCAUGUGAGCCCGCGGACGCCGAACUUGAUCAUUUAUCGAUCUUCGAAUUCAGCGCCACAAACAUCUUCCAGCAUUUGCCUUUGGGCAACAUGCUAAACUCAUUAAAAAACCUGUCCUUGGUGGAGGACUCACAGCCGAACUAUAUCCGGUUUGAACUAGGGGCAGACGAUGGAGAAUUUUGCUCCCCACCCGCCACCCACUUCAUAGCCACGGUCCAGGAUUUAACUGACACACUUGAUUAUGACUCCGAGGACAUCGACGAUAUGGACGACGAUGUCGGAGAAGAAGAGGCCCAGAACCCGCCAUUCACCGGACGCUGGACGGCCACUUCCUCGUAUGAUGUAUACAUGGUGGAUGCACCAAAGGAGAACAUCGGCGAUGACAAGGACGAUCCAGCUGAGGAUAAACCUUCCGAAAUACAAUCCAAGCGCCGGCGUCAGCGGCGCCGCUCUAAGUCACGCCGUAGUAAAGACAGCAACAUCGGCACAGGAGAAGGUAACACUCUAGAAGGUGCCGAAGACAACAAAGACCCCGUUGAAACAGCUAAUGAGCAAGAUGAACGGGAAUAUGGGCAGGUUAGCCCUGGUAAACAGGCCACGCAUGAAGACUCAAAGGACGGAAGUUAUCUUCCGCUCUCCGAGGAUGAGGUGAUCCUCGGCACCGACAAUUUCAUCGUGCCUGAGGAACCUCUGGAGCAGGAGCGCUUCAAGCGCCAGCUAAUAGCCACUGCAAGGAGCCUGAAAAAGAAGAAGCAACAGCUUCAAGCUGACCAAGAUCUGCUCAAUGAUAAAUGGACCGAUGUCCUAGGAGCUGAAGAAUACGGCCUCAAGGGCUCAACCAAAAGCUACCCAAAACGCAAAUUGCUACCUCAGUUUGACAAGGAGGCGUCGGAAUACAUACCACCAUCGCACAAUGCGGCUGACCGACCACCACGUGGUCGGGACAAAAUAACAACUCACGCCGAACACCAGCCCGCCCCAUCUCGUCGCACAGGUAGAGGUAAAUUAGCCCACGGCCAUACAUAUGACCUCUGGCAAAACCUGAACAAUAAAGCAGAACAUACCAGAUCAAUCUACGGAUUGCAUGGACGUGCCUCGGCACGCGACGACAGCCACCUAUUCGGACGUGACAAGCUUAGUCAUGCGCGGGCUAAAAACCACAGACGGACUCCAUCAGAGCUACGUCGCGAUACGACCAGAUAUAGAGGCGCCGCACACCCUCAUUGCUUCACUGAUGAGGUCAUGGAUCAUGAAUUCCCAGAAGGGUUCAAACCCGUGAAUAUAUAAUCAUACGAUGGAACCACGGACCCCGCGGUGUGGAUCGAAGACUUCAUUCUCCACAUUCAUAUGGCCUGCAGUGAUGACCUCCACGCCAUUAAAUACCUUCCUUUAAAACUCAAGCAACCAUCUCGGCAUUAGCUCAAUAGUCUGCCUGCAAAUUCCAUUGGCAGCUGGGACGACUUGGAAGAGGCCUUCCUUGAUAACUUCCAAGGUACAUAUGUUCGACCUCCGGACGCUGAUGACUUAAGCCACAUAGUUCAACAGCCCGGAGAGUUCGCCAGGAAAUUCUGGACUAGGUUCUUAACUAAAAAGAACCAAAUCGUCGAUUAUCCGGAUGCCGAAGCCCUAGCAGCCUUCAAACACAGCAUCCGCGACGAAUGGCUCGCUCGCCACCUUGGCCAAGAAAAGCCAAAAUCCACGGCGGCCCCCACGGCACUCACGACCCGCUUUUGUGCGGGCGAGGACAGUUGGUUGGCCCGUAGCAAAAACACUGCAAGCGACGCCGACACCCCUGAAGUUAAAAAUAACAAAGACAAGUCUCUAUGCAACAGAUACAAGCGUCGAAACAACAGUGAUAACACCGAUGACACGGCGGACAAUGCCGGAUUCAGUGGCUCUAAGUCUGGUCAGCGGAAGAAACCGUUCCAAAAGAACAAUUCAGGCCCAUCCAGCUUGGACCGCAUACUUGAUCGUCCGUGCCUACCUAUAUACGGUAUCUGCCUAUAUCUCCAUAAACCCCAAAGUUAUUCCAUAUGAGUCCACCAUACCUACCUAUAUACGGUAUCUACCUGUCGUUCCAAGUAAAUUUGUAUGUGCCAAACUCUAAACCUUCAAAUAAACAUUCUGUUUUGUAUGCUCGAAUAGCUCAUGUAUCAACUAGGGUUGUCUGUAUCUUCCAUGCUAGGCGGGUUAUUCUCAAGAGGAGUGGACUCAGCUCCUCACUCAUGAGAAAAUGGAUGGUCACCGGGAUGCCCAGUCCCAUGCUUUAUGCAAAUCAAAUCAAAAUAACUGCAAACAAAACUCCCCCAGGACUCUUGUUAGUUGGAGGCACUCGUUGUUUCGAGCAAGCCAUGGAUUGAUGCUUGUUGGUGGAGGGGGAGUAUAAACUUUACCAUUCUGUUUGGGAACUGCCUAUAAUGUGUGUAGCAUGGAAGAUAUCGAGAUCUCUCGGUUGUUAUGUUGAUAAUGAAAGUAUACCGCUCAAAAUAUUAUUUAUAUCUAUUUCAAAACCAAGCUCUGGCACCUCUACAAAUCCCUGCUUCCCUCUGCGAAGGGCCUAUCUAUUUAUUUUUAUGUUGAGUCAUCAUCCUCUUAUUAAAAAGCACCAGUUGGAGAGCACCGCUGUCAUUUGCAUCCAUUACUAUUAGUUUACAUUGAGUAUGACUUGACUGGAUCUCUUUUACCUUGAAUUACAAUGUCUAGUCAGUCCUUGAUCUUUAAAGGUGCUCUGCAUUUAUGUUUUGAGGUCUCAGACAGGGCUAGCGAGAUACCAUCUUGUCAUAUCAUAUCAUGAUUAUUUUGAGAAAGUGUUGUCAUCGGAGAUUUAUUAUUAUUGCUCGCUAGUUGAUUAUGUCAUUGAUAUGAGUAAACAUGAGACCUAAGUGUUAUUGUGAAUAUGGUUAGUUCAUAAUCUUUGCUGAAAAUCUGAAUGCUGGCUUUACAUAUUUACAACAACAAGAGCAAAUAGAGUUUGUAAAAGUUUUUCUUUAUCACUUUCAGUUUAUCAACUGAAUUGCUUGAUGACAAGCAAAGGUUUAAGCUUGGGGGAGUUGAUAUGUCUCCGUCGUAUCUACUUUUCCAAACACUUUUGCCCUUGUUUUGGACUCUAACUUGCAUGAUUUGAAUGGAACUAACCCGGACUGACGCUGUUUUCAGCAGAAUUGCCAUGGUGUUAUUUUUGUGUAGAAAUAAAAGUUCUUGGAAUGACCUAAAAAUCAAUGGUGAAUUAUUUUGGAAUACAUAAAAAAUACUAGAAGAAAGAUCCACGUCAGGGGCCCACAACCUGUACACGAGGGUGGGGGCGUGCCCUACCCCCUGGGCGUGCCCCCUGCCUCGUGGGCCCCCUGACGCUCCACCGACCUCAACCUUGACUCCAUAUAUUCACUUUUGGGGAGAGAAAAAUCAGAGAGAAGGAUUCAUCGCGUUUUAUGAUACGGAGCCGCCGCCAAGCCCUAAACUCUCUCGGGAGGGCUGAUCUGGAGUCCGUUCGGAGCUCCGGAGAGGGGAAUCCGUCGCCAUCGUCAUCAUCAACCUUCCUCCAUCACCAAUUUCAUGAUGCUCACCGCCGUGUGUGAGUAAUUCCAUCGUAGGCUUCCUGGACGGUGAUGGGUUGGAUGAUAUUUAUCAUGUAAUCGAGUUUGCUUUGUUAGGGUUUGAUCCCUAGUAUCCACUAUGUUCUGAGAUGGAUGUUGCUAUGACUUUGCUAUGCUUAAUGCUUGUCACUAGGGCCCGAGUGCCAUGAUUUCAGAUCUGAACCUAUAAUGUUUUCAUCAAUAUAUGAGAGUUCUUGAUCCUAUCUUGCAAGUCUAUAGUCACCUAUUAUGUGUUAUGAUUCGUUAACCCCGAAGUGACAAUAAUCAGGAUACUUACUGGUGAUGACCGUAGUUUGAGGAGUUCAUGUAUUCACUAUGUGUUAAUGCUUUGGCCUGGUACUAUAUUAAAAGGAGGCCUUAAUAUCCCUUAGUUUCCAAUAGGACCCCACUUCCACGGGAGGGUAGGACAAAAGAUGUCAUGCAAGUUCUUUUCCAUAAGCAUGUAUGACUAUAUUCGGAAUACAUGCCUACAUUACAUUGAUGAACUGGAGCUAGUUCUGUGUCACCCUAGGUUAUGACUGUUACAUGAUCGAUUUCAUCCAGCAUAAUUCUCCAUCACCGAUCCAAUGCCUACGAGAUUUUCUAUAUAUUGUUCUUCGCUCAUUUACUUUUCCGUUGCUAUUGUUACAAUCACUACAAAACCCAAAAAUAUUACUUUUGCUACUGUUACCUUUUGCCACCAUUACCACUACUAUCAUAUUACUUUGCUACUAAAUACCUUGCUGCAGAUAUUAAGUUUCCAGGUGUGGUUGAAUUGACAACUCAGCUGCUAAUACUUGAGAAUAUUCUUUGGCUCCCCUUGUGUCGAAUCAAUAAAUUUGUGUUGAAUACUCUACCCUCGAAAACUGUUGCGAUCCCCUAUACUUGUGGGUUAUCAAGAACAUUUUCUGGCGCCGUUGCCGGGGAGCAUUGCUCUAUUCUUUGAGUCACUUGGGAUUUAUAUCUGCUUAUCAUUAUGAAGAACUUGAAAGAUCAAAGAACCAAGUUUUUUCCCUCAACUACGAGGGGAGGUAAGGAACUGCCAUCUAGCUCUGCACUUGAUUCACCUUCUUUUUGAGUAAGCUUGCGACACCUAAACCUGCUUCUGCUAUUAAUUCUGAUAUGUCGCAUGUUAUUGAUGAUGCCACUUCUGCUUUGCAUGAUACUUAUGAUGAAACUACUUCUAUGCUUGAUACUACUGUGCCACUUGGUGAAUUUCUUGAUGAACAACUUGCUAGGGCUAGAGAGAAUGAAAUUAUUGAAACUGAUAUAUUGAUGAAAGUGAUGAUGAAGAUUCUCCCCCUAGAUAUGAAUUUCCUGUUGUUCGUGAGGGUUAUGUUAUGGAUGAAGAAACUGCUAGAGACUUUCUUGCGUGCAAUGAUAGAAGUGAUCUUAAGAAGUUAUUAGCCAAGCUUAAAGAAAAAACUCUGAAUGCUAGAAUGAAAUAUGAUCCUGCUUAUGCUAGUUCACCUGUCUUUAUUGCUGAUAAGGAUUAUGACUUCUCUGUUGAUCCCGAUUUAAUUACUUUGGUUGAAUCUGAUCCUUUCUAUGGCUAUGAAUCUGAAACUGUUGUGGCACAUCUUACUAAAUUAAAUGAUAUAGCUACCCUGUUCACUAAUGAUGAGAAAACUCGCUAUUAUUAUAUCCUUAAAUUAUUUACAUUCUCAUUAAAGGGUGAUGCUAAGAUAUGGUUUAAUUCUAUUGAUCUUGGUUGUGUGCGUAGUCCCCAGGAUAUGAUUUAUUACUUCUCUGCUAAAUAUUUCCCCGCUCAUAAGAAACAAGCUGCUUUAAGGGAAAUAUAUAAUUUUGUGCAAAUUGAAGAAGAGAGUCUCCCACAAGCUUGUGGGAGGCUUCUCCAAUUACUUAAUGCUUUGCCUGAUCAUCCUCUCAAGAAAAAUGAAAUACUUGAUAUCUUUUAUAAUGGACUAACCGAUGCUUCCAGAGACUACCUGGAUAGUUGUGUUGGUUGUGUUUUCAGGGAAAGAACUGUUGAUCAAGCUGAAAUUCUAUUGAAUAAUAUGUUGACUAAUAAAAAUAAUUGGACACUUCCUGAACCAACUCCUAAGCCAACUCCGAAGAAAAGGGGUAUUCUAUUUCUCAGUCCUGAAGAUAGGCAAGAGGCAAAGAGAUCUAUGAAAGAAAAAGGUAUAAAAGCUGAAGAUGUUAAGAAUUUACCUCUUGUUGAAGAAACACAUGGUCUUAAUUCAUCUCCUAUUGAAGAAACACACGGUCUUGAUAACCCGACACAGGUAGUAAAGGUAAAUUCUCUCUAUAGAUAUGAUAAAGCUGAAAUCCCUCCUGCUAAGUUUGCUAGCAAAUGUUUGGAUGAAUUUGAUAACUUUAUGGUUAAGCAAGAAGAUUUCAAUGAUUAUGUUGGUAGACAAUUGAAACACAAUGCUGAUAUGCUUGAACACUUGAGUGAUUAUAUGUCUAGAGUUAAAGGUGAACUUAAACUUAUUAGUAAACAUGCUUCUAUGGUUACCACUCAAGUAGAACAAGUACGUAAGGCUCAAAAAGAAGUGCUUGAUAGGACUUUUCAUGCUUCUAGUGAACCUGUUGUAGACACACCUGAGAAUCCCAACGAUGUUUCUAUCUCUGAUGCUGAAACACAAUCCGGUAAUGAACAUGAACCUAGUGAUAAUGUUAAUGAUGAUGUUCAUGUUGAUGCUCAACCUAGCAAUAAUAAUGAUGUAGAAAUUGAACCUUCUGUUGAUCUUGAUAAGCCACAAUCAAAGAAUCAACGUUAUGAUAAGAGAGACUUUGUUGCUAGGAAGCACGGUAAAGAAAGGGAACCAUGGGUUCAGAAACCCAUGCCUUUUCCUCCUAAACCAUCCAAUAAAAAGGAUGAUGAGGAUUUUGAGCAUUUUGCUGAAAUGAUUAGACCUAUCUUUUUGCAUAUGCGUUUGACCGAUAUGCUUAAAAUGAAUCCUUAUGCUAAGUAUAUGAAGGAUAUAGUUACUAAUAAGAGAAAGAUUCCGGAAGCUGAAAUUUCCACCAUGCUUGCUAAUUAUACUUUUAAGGGUGGAAUACCAAAGAAACUUGGAGAUCCAGGAGUACCAACUAUACCAUGCUCCAUUAAAAGAAAUUAUGUUAAAACUGCUUUAUGUGAUCUUGGAGCCGAUGUUAGUGUUAUGCCUCUCUCUUUAUAUCGUAGACUUGAUUUGAAUAAGUUGACACCUACUGAAAUAUCUUUGCAAAUGGCUGAUAAAUCAACUGCUAUACAUGUCGGUAUUUGUGAGGAUGUGCCUGUUGUGGUUGCAAACGUUACUAUUUUAAUGGACUUUGUUAUUCUUGAUAUUCUCGAGGACGAUAGUAUGUCUAUUAUUCUUGGAAGACCCUUUUUGAAUACUGCAGGGGCUGUUAUUGAUUGCACCAAAGGCAAUGUCACUUUUCAUGUUAAUGGUAAUGAGCAUACGAUACACUUUUCGAGGAAACAACCUCAAGUCCACAGUAUCAGUUCUAUUGGAAAAAUUUCAACAAUUACUAUUGGAGGUUUUGAAUUCCCUCUUCCUACUGUCAAGAACAAAUAUGAUAUUCUUAUUGUUGGGGACAUGCAUAUCCCCGUUGAGGUAACCUAGUGUUAUUCGAAAAUUCUCCGGUUUCAUGUUAUUCAAAAUGAGUUUGUUAACUAGACCUGAUCAACCUUGUUAGUGGAUUCCUUUUGAUGAGCAGGAGAUGGAUGAAGUUAGAAAACACAACUCUCUGUACCCUCUUUUUACUUUCUGUUAUUUAUAUUAAAUAAAGCAAAAAUAGUAUUUUUCUGUCUGUUUUCUGAAUUAUCAAUGCAAUAAAAAAUACCCCAAAAAUAAAAGUUCUCCAAAUGCCCUGAAAAUUAAAUAUGAUUUUUUCUAGAAUAUUUGAGAAUAUCUGGCACUAAGAACACAGCAGGGGGAGCAAGCACCUGGCCACGAGGGUCCAGGGCGCGCCUCCUUGCCUCGUGGGCCCAUGGUGGCUCCACUCCACUUAUUCCAGCUACCACACACUCCUUCUUCCUUCCAAAAAAUCACUAGCCAGCUCAAACCCGACUUCAAGCUCAUCUUGCUACUAUUUUCGAUCUCCUAGCUCAAAGCUCCAUUCACAAAACUGCUUUGGGGGAUUGUUCCUUGGUAUGUGAUUCCUCCAACGGUCCAAUUAGUUUUUGUUCUAGUGCUUUAUUCAUUGCAAAUUUUUGCUGCUUAGGUGACCCUAUUCUUGAGCUUGCAUGUCAAAUUUAUAUGGUCAAAAGUGUUGGGGAACGUAGUAAUUUCAAAACAAUUCCUACGCACACGCAAGAUCAUGGUGAUGCAUAGCAACGAGAGGGGAGAGUGUUUUCCACGUACCCUCGUAGACCGAAAGCGGAAGCGUUAGCACAACACGGUUGAUGUAGUCAUACGUCUUCACGAUCCGACCGAUCAAGUACCGAAUGUAUGGCACCUCCGAGUUCAGCACACGUUCAGCCCGAUGACGUCCCUCGAACUCCGAUCCAGCCGAGUGUUGAGGGAGAGUUUCGUCGGUACGACGACAUGGUGACGAUGAUGAUGUUCUACUGACGCAGGGCUUCGCCUAAGCAUCGCUACAGUAUUAUCGAGGUGGACUAUGGUGGAGGGGGGCACCGCACACGGCUAAAAGAUCAAACGAUCAAUUGUUGUGUCUAUGGGGUUCCCCCUGCCCCCGUAUAUAAAGGAGCAAGGGGAGGAGGCGGCCGACCAGGGAGAGGCGUGCCAAGGGGGAGUCCUACUCCCACUAGGAGUAGGACUCCUCCUAUUCCUAGUAGGAGUAGGAGAGGGGGAAGGAAAGGGAGAGGGGGAGAAGGAAAGAGGGGCCCGUCCCCCUUGCCCUAAACCAAUUCGGUUUGGGCCUUGGGGGGGUGCGCCCCACACUCCCCUUGCUGCCCUAUAUUUCCACUAAGGCCCAUGUAGGCCCAUUAAGCCCCCGGGGGGUUCCGGUAACCUCCCGGUACUUCGGUAAAAUCCCGAUUUCACCCGGAACACUUCCGAUAUCCAAACAUAGGCUUCCAAUAUAUCAACCUUCAUGUCUCGACCAUUUUGAGACUCCUCAUCAUGUCCGGGAUCACAUACGGGACUCCAAACAACCUUCGGUACAUCAAAACAUAUAAACUCAUAAUAUAACCGUCAUCGAAACGUUAAGCGUGCGGACCCUACGGGUUCGAGAACUAUGUAGACAUGACCGAGACAUGUCUCCGGUCAAUAACCAAUAGCGGAACGUGGAUGUUCAUAUUGGCUCCCACAUAUUCUACGAAGAUCUUUAUCGGUCAAACCGCAUAACAACAUACGUUGUUCCCUUUGUCAUCGGUAUGUUACUUGCCCGAGAUUCGAUCGUCAGUAUCUCAAUACCUAGUUUAAUCUCGUUACCGGCCAGUCUCUUUACUCGUUCUGUAAUACAUCAUCUCGCAACUAACUCAUUAGUUGCAAUGCUUGCAAGGCUUAAGUGAUGUGCAUUACCAAGAGGGCCCAGAGAUACCUCUCCAACAAUCGGAGUGACAAAUCCUAAUCUCGAAAUACGCCAACCCAACAAGUACCUUCGAAGACACCUGUAGAGCACCUUUAUAAUCAUCCAGUUACGUUGUGACGUUUGGUAGCACACAAAGUGUUCCACCGGUAAACGGGAGUUGCAUAAUCUCAUAGUCAUAGGAACAUGUAUAAGUCAUGAAGAAAGCAAUAGCAGAAUACUAAACGAUCGUGUGCUAAGCUAACGGAAAGGGUCAAGUCAAUCACAUGAUUCUCCUAAUGAUGUGAUCUCAUUAAUCAAAUGACAACACUUUGUUUAUGGUUAGGAAACUUAACCAUCUCUGAUUAAUGAGCUAGUCAAGUAGAUGCAUACUAGUGACAUACUAUUUGUCUAUGUAUUCACACAUGUAUUAUGUUUCCUGUUAAUACAAUUCUAGCAUGAAUAAUAAACAUUUAUCAUGAUAUAAGGAAAUAAAUAAUAACUUCAUUAUUGCCUCUAGGACAUAUUUCCUUCAGUCUCCCACUUGCACUAGAGUCAAUAAUCUAGAUUACACAGUAAUGAUUCUAACACCCAUGGAGCCUUGGUGCUGAUCAUGUUUUGCUCGUGGAAGAGGCUUAGUCAAUGGGUCUGCAACAUUCAGAUCCGUAUGUAUCUUGCAAAUUUCUAUGUCUCCCACCUGGACUAAAUCCCGGAUGGAAUUGAAGAGUCUCUUGAUGUGCUUGGUUCUCUUGUGAAAUCUGGAUUCCUUUGCCAAGGCAAUUGCACCAGUAUUGUCACAAAAGAUUUUCAUUGGACCCGAUGCACUAGGUGUGACACCUAGAUCGGAUAUGAACUCCUUCAUUUGCUGCUUCCGAAGCAGCUAUGUACUUCGGUUCACAUGUAGAUCCCGCCACAAUGCUUUGUUUAGAACCGCACCAACUGACAGCUCCACCGUUCAAUGUAAACACGUAUCCGGUUUGCGAUUUAGAAUCAUCCGGAUCAGUGUCAAAGCUUGCAUCAAUGUAACCAUUUACGAUGAGCUCUUUGUCACCUCCAUAUAUGAGAAACAUAUCCUUAGUCCUUUUCAGGUAUUUCAGGAUGUUCUUGACCGCUGUCUAGUGAUCCACUCCUAGAUUACUUUGGUACCUCCCUGCUAGACUUAUAGCAACGCACACAUCAGGUCUGGUACACAGCAUUGCAUACAUGAUAGAGCCUAUGGCUGAAGCAUAGGGAAUAUCUUUCAUUUUCUCUCUGUCUUCUGCAGUGGUCGGGCAUUGAGUCUUACUCAACUUCACACCUUGUAACACAGGCAAGAACCCUGUCUUUGCUUGAUCCAUUUUGAACUUAUUCAAAACAUUGUCAAGGUAUGUGCUUUGUGAAAGUCCAAUUAAGCGUCUUGAUGUAUCUCUAUAGAUCUUGAUGCCCAAUAUAUAAGCAGCUUCACCGAGGUCUUUCAUUGAAAAACUCUUAUUCAAGUAUCCCUUUAUGCUAUCCAGAAAUUCUAUAUCAUUUCCAAUCAACAAUAUGUCAUCCACAUAUAAUAUUAGAAAUGCUACAGAGCUCGCACUCACUUUCUUGUAAUACAGGCUUCUCCAAAAGUCUGUAUAAAACCAAAUGCUUUGAUCACACUAUCAAACCGUUUAUUCCAACUCCGAGAGGCUUGUACCAGUCCAUAAAUGGAUCGCUGGAGCCUGCACACUUUGUUAGCUCCCUUUGGAUCGACAAAACCUUCUGGUUGCAUCAUAUACAACUCUUCUUCCAGAAAUCCAUUCAGGAAUGCAGUUUUGACAUCCAUUUGCCUAAUUUUGUAAUCAUAAAAUGCAGCAAUUGCUAACAUGAUUCAGACAGACUUGAGCAUCACUACGGGUGAGAAGGUCUCAUCGUAGUCAAUCCCUUGAACUUGUCGAAAACCUUUUGCAAGAAGUCGAGCUUUAUAGACAGUAACAUUACCGUCAGUGUCAGUCUUCUUCUUGAAGAUCCAUUUAUCCUCAAUUGCUUGCCGAUCAACGGGCAAGUCAACCAAAGUCCACACAUUGUUCUCAUACAUGGUUCCCAUCUCAGAUUUCAUGGCCUCAAGCCAUUUUGCGGAAUCUGGUGUAACGCCCGGGUAAUCAAGAUACAGUAAUUCCACGCAAAUGGUGUCACGUCACCACGGUUACUGUUGCUAAACUACCGUUAGAUCAAAACACUCUAAAUUCAAAUUUAAAUUUAGCAAACAGUCAAAGUUUUCAAAACAUUAAAACAAAAAUGUUCGAUGUGUGUCAAAUAUUGCUAUGGUAAUUAUAGUGAAGAAAACAUAAUUUUACAAAGUGCCUAAGUGCUUUAAACUAAAUAAACAGAAAAUGGAAAUAAAUAAAAGAAAAAAACUACUAAACAAGAACAAAAGAAAGAAAAAAAAGGCCCCCUGGCCAACUGGGCCAAAUGGCCCAACUAACCACCAGGCCGGCCCAACCAUCUGGCCUACAUAGUCCUUCCUCCACUCCCCCCCACUACUCCACCGACACCCCACCCCCCCAUGAAAAUAUCUCCUCUCUCCCCGAUUGGAUCGGGAUCGUGGGAGGAGGUCGCUGCCCCGCGCCAGGACGCCGCCGCCGCCCGGAUCGCCCUUCGCCGCCCGGAGCGCUCCCCCUCCGGCCUGCUUCUCCUCUCCGCCGUCGUCUCCGACCACCGCCUCCACACCCGCUGCCCCGUGCCCUACGCUAUCCCCGUGAGGCCCCCUCCUCCUCUCUUCCCCGCAUGCGCCCGCACCGGACGCACUCACCGCGCUCGCGCCGCCCCGUGCCCGUGCACACGCCGUGGCCGUGCCCUCUCCCAUGCUCGCUGCCGCUCUGCACCGCUGCCUCCUUCCCCGUACCCGGCACCUCUCUCGCUCCCCUCCUUGCUCGCCCGCACUCGCGUGCGCGCCUGCGCUUGCUCGCGUUGACACCCGCCUGCGCUGCUGCCCGCUGCUGCGCUGCCACCGCGGCUGCACCGCGCCGCCCCACGCGCCUCAACCCGCGCCUACGCCGCUCGCCCGCCGACGCCCGCAGCCUUCCUCUCGCGCGUGCCCCGCUUCUCGCGCCGACCCCGCCCCUGCCACUGCUCCACUCCGGUGCGACGCCCUGGCUGCACCCGCGCCCCGCUGCCGACGCCCGCGACCCUUCUCUGCCUCGCCUGNNNNNNNNNNNNNNNNNNNNNNNNNNNNNNNNNNNNNNNNNNNNNNNNNNNNNNNNNNNNNNNNNNNNNNNNNNNNNNNNNNNNNNNNNNNNNNNNNNNNNNNNNNNNNNNNNNNNNNNNNNNNNNNNNNNNNNNNNNNNNNNNNNNNNNNNNNNNNNNNNNNNNNNNNNNNNNNNNNNNNNNNNNNNNNNNNNNNNNNNNNNNNNNNNNNNNNNNNNNNNNNNNNNNNNNNNNNNNNNNNNNNNNNNNNNNNNNNNNNNNNNNNNNNNNNNNNNNNNNNNNNNNNNNNNNNNNNNNNNNNNNNNNNNNNNNNNNNNNNNNNNNNNNNNNNNNNNNNNNNNNNNNNNNNNNNNNNNNNNNNNNNNNNNNNNNNNNNNNNNNNNNNNNNNNNNNNNNNNNNNNNNNNNNNNNNNNNNNNNNNNNNNNNNNNNNNNNNNNNNNNNNNNNNNNNNNNNNNNNNNNNNNNNNNNNNNNNNNNNNNNNNNNNNNNNNNNNNNNNNNNNNNNNNNNNNNNNNNNNNNNNNNNNNNNNNNNNNNNNNNNNNNNNNNGCCUCGCCUGGCUGCCUCGUGCACUGCUCCCGCCUUCCCCGCUGAAGGCCGCCGCGCCCGCACCUCACCGAGACCGCGCGCGCUGUCCUGCAUCCCUCAUCGCUGCCGCUGCCCCUGUUCGCCCCGGCCUCGCCUUCCCUCUCCGCGCGCCGUGCCGGCCGCCCCGCCUACGCCCGCAGUUGCCGCGUCUUGCUGUCCUGCCCGUGGCCGCGCUGGUUGCCGGCGGCCGCGACCCGCGAACCGCUCUCCCCCUCCGCUUGCCGGCCGGCGUCCUCGCCGUGGCCGACACCCUCCCCUGGCUGUGCCAUGGGCACGGCCCCGGCUGCGCCCUCUGUUGCCUCUGUGCGGAUGCGCGUUCGCCCGCACUCGAUAGCGCCCGUUACGCCUGAACCCGCCAAGACCCCCUGCCUAUGACAAGGGGGCCCCACCACAGAACGAAAAUGAAAAAAAAGAAAAGGUUUAAAAUAAUGAAUAAUAAAUAAAAUAAAAAUUAAUUAAUUAAUUAAUUAACUUAGUUAAUCUUGAUUAAUUAAACUAAACAAUUAAUUAAACUAAUUAAUCAUAAUUAAGAUUAACCAAAUAACUAAUUAAACUAACUACUGUUAGUAAUUAAUUAGUCAAUGACAGUGGGGCUCACCCCCCUAAUUAAUCCUGAUUAGGUUAAUUAAACUGGAUAAUUAAAUAUGUCACUGACAGGUGGGACCCACUUGUCAGGUUGACCAGGUCAACUGCUGAUGUCAUGCUGACAUCAUGCUGACGUCAGCAAACACUAUUCUGGAUAAUGUUGAAUUAAAAUAAUUAAAUAAAUCCUAAAAAUGAUUUAAUUCUUUUUAAAAUUAAUAUAAAAUAAACCGUAGCUCGGAUGAAAAACUUUGUACAUGAAAGUUGCUUAGAACGACGAGACGAAUCCGAAUACGCAGCCCGUUCGUCCGCCACACAUCCCUAGCAUAGCGAACACGCAACUUCCUCCCUCCGGUUCAUUUGUCCGAAAACGCAAAACACCGGGGAUAUUUCCCGGAUGUUCCCCCCUUCACCGGUACCACCUCAUACCGCGUUAGAGCACCGCUACUUGUCAUGUCAUGCAUCACUAUGCAUCUGUUUGCUUAAUAUUUAUUGUUUCUCCCCCUCUUCUCUCGCUAGACACCGAGACCAACGCCGCUGCUACCCAGUACGACUACGGUGUUGACGACCCCUCUCUCUUGCCAGAUCAACCAGGCAAGCCCCCCCUUUGAUCACCAGAUAUCGCCUACUCUUCUCUCUACUGCUUGCAUUAGAGUAGUGUAGCAUGUUACUGCUUUCCAUUAAUCCUAUUCUGAUGCAUAACCUGUCAUUGUUGCUCCAGCUGUUGAUACCUUACCUGCAAUCCUAAAUGCUUAGUAUAGGAUGCUAGUUUAUCAUCAGUGGCCCUACAUUCUUGUCUGUCUGCCAUGCUAUACUAUCGGGCCGUGAUCACGUCGGGUGUUGAUCACGGGUAUAUACUAUACAUAUUACACAUGAUAUAUGUUGUGGCUAAAGUCGGGUCGGCUCGUUGAGUACCCGCGGUUGAUUCACGAAUUGGGGGCUAGAAGGACAUACUUCCCCGAUGGCCCUCUGUGUGGAUCUUUGUGGCGAAGUGACAGGGCAGGUUGAGACCACCUAGGAGAGAGCUGGGCCUGGCCUUGGUCGGCGUUCGCGGUUACUUCAAGAUAACACGUUUAACGAGAUCUUGGUAUUUAAUCUGAGUCUGGCCACUGGCCUAUACGCACUAACCAACUACGCGGGGACAGUUAUGGGCACUCGACGUCGUGGUAUCAGCCGAAGCCUUCGUGACGUCAGUGACUGAGCGGCGCGCGUCGGGUUGGACUGGAACGCCUGCUCUUGUAUAAGGGAGGCUAGGUCUGCUCACCAGCCGCAUACGCAACGUGCAUGUGUGCAAUGCGCGAUGGGCCCAGACCCCUGUGCCAUAGGAUUUAGACCGGCGUGCUGACCUCUCAGUUGUGCCUAGGUAGGGCUACGACAUGUUGAUCUUCCGAGGCCGGGCAUGACCCAGACAAGUGCGUCCGGACAAAGGGGAUCGAGCAUGUUGGGAAAUGUGGUGCACCCCUGCAGGGAAGUUAAUCUAUUCGAAUAGCCAUGAUCUUCGGUAACAGGACGACUUGGAGUUGUACCUUGACCUUAUGACAACUAGAACCGGAUACUUAUUAAAACACACCCUUCCAAGUGCCAGAUACAACCGGUGAUCGCUCUCUCAUAGGGCGACGAGGGGAGGAUCACCGGGUAGGGUUAUGCUAUGCGUUGUUACUUGGUGAACUUACCAUCUACUCUCUUCUACAUGCUGCAAGAUGGAGGUUACCAGAAGCAUAGUCUUCGAAAGGACAAGCUAUCCCCCCUUAUUCCGGCAUUCUGCAGUUCAGUCCACCUAUGAUACCCUUAUUCCAAUUGAUACCAUUGCAUACAUAUGUAGUGUAGCUCGUUGCUUGCGAGUACUUUGGAUGAGUACUCACGAUUGCUUUGCUCCCUCUUUUCCCUCUUUCUAUACCCGAUUGUUGCGACCAGACGAUGGAGCCCUGGAGCCAGACGCCACCGUCGAUGACUACUACUACUACUACUCGGGAGGUGCCUACUACUACGUGCAGCCCGCUGACGACGACCAGGAGUAGUUUAGGAGGAUCCCAGGUAGGAGGCAUGCGCCUCUUUCGAUCUGUAUCCCAGUUUGUGCUAGCCUUCUUAAGGCAAACUUGUUGACUUAUGUCUGUACUCAGAUAUUGUUGCUUCCGCUGACUCGUCUAUGAUUGAUCUCUUGUAUUCGAGCCCACGAGGCCCCUGGCUUGUAAUAUGAUGCUUGUAUGACUUAUCUUAUUUGUAGAGUUGUGUUGUGAUAUCUUCUGUGAGUCCCUGAUCUUGAUCGUACAUGUUCGCGUGUAUGAUUAGUGUACGAUUGAAUCGGGGGCGUCACAUCUGGGCUCACCAUCGCUUCUUCAUAGUUCGUAGGUUCGUCAUGGUCUAGUAACAUAACUUCCAGAACAGGAUCAUCGUACCACUCUGGUGCAGAUCUUACUCUGGUUGACCUACGAGGUUCAGUAACAACUUGAUCUAAAGUUUCAUGAUCAUCAUCAUUAACUUCCUCACUAAUUGGUGUAGGUGUCGCAGAAACCGGUUUCUGCGAUGAACUACUUUCCAAUAAGGGAGCAGGUACAGUUACCUCAUCAAGAUCUACUUUCCUCCCACUCACUUCUUUCGAGAGAAACUCCUUCUCUAGAAAAACUCCGAAUUUAGCAACAAAAGUCUUGCCUUCGGAUCUGUGAUAGAAGGUGUACCCAACAGUCUCCUUUGGGUAUCCUAUGAAGACACAUUUCUCCGAUUUGGGUUCGAGCUUAUCAGGUUGAAGCUUUUUCACACAAGCAUCGCAGCCCCAAACUUUCAGAAACAACAAUUUUGGUUUCUUACCAAACCAUAGUUCAUAAGGUGUCGUCUCAAAGGAUUUCGAUGGUGCCCUAUUUAAGGUGAAUGCGGCCGUCUCUAAAGCCUAACCCCAAAACGAUAGCGGUAAAUCAGUAAGAGACAUCAUAGAUCGCACCAUAUCUAGUAAAGUACGAUUACGACAUUCGGACACACCAUUAUGCUGUGGUGUUCCGGGUGGCAUGAGUUGCGAAACUAUUCCGCAUUGUUUCAAAUGAAGACCAAACUCAUAACUCAAAUAUUCUCCUCCAUGAUCAAAUCGUAGAAACUUUAUUUUCUUGUUAUGAUGAUUUUCAACUUCACUCUGAAAUUCUUUGAACUUUUCAAAUGUUUCAGACUUAUGUUUCAUUAAGUAGAUGUACCCAUAUCUGCUUAAAGCAUCUGUGAAGGUGAGAAAAUAAUGAUAUCCGCCACGAGCCUCAACAUUCAUCGGACCACAUACAUCUGUAUGUAUGAUCUCCAACAAAUAUGUUGCUCUCUCCAUAGUUCCGGAGAACGGCGUUUUAGUCAUCUUGCCCAUGAGGCACGGUUCGCAAGUAUCAAGUGAUUCAUAAUCAAGUGGUUCCAAAAGUCCAUCAGUAUGGAGUUUCUUCAUGCGCUUUAUUCCGAUAUGACCUAAACGGCAGUGCCACAAAUAAGUUGCACUAUCAUUAUCAACUCUGCAUCUUUUGGCGUCAAUAUUAUGAAUAUGUGUAUCACCACUAUCGAGAUUUAGCAAAAAUAGACCACUCUUCAAGGGUGCAUGACCAUAGAAGAUAUUACUCAUAUAAAUAGAACAACCAUUAUUCUCUGAUUUAAAUGAAUAACCGUCUCGCAUCAAACAAGAUCCAGAUAUAAUGUUCAUGCUCAACGCUGGCACCAAAUAACAAUUAUUUAGGUCUAAUACUAAUCCCGAAGGUAGAUGUAGAGGUAGCGUGCCGACCGCGAUCACAUUGACGUUGGAACCAUUUCCCACGCGCAUCAUCACCUCGUCCUUAGCCAAUCUUCGCUUAAUCCGUAGCCCCUGUUUCGAGUUGCAAAUAUUAGCAACAGAACCAGUAUCAAAUACCCAGGUGCUACUGUGAGCAUUAGUAAUGUACACAUCAAUAACAUGUAUAUCACAUAUACCUUUGUUCACCUUGCCAUCCUUCUUAUCAGCCAAAUACUUGGGGCAGUCCGCUUCCAGUGACCAGUCUGCUUGUAGUAGAAGCACUCAGUCUCAGGCUUAGGUCCAGACUUGGGUUUCUUCUCUUGAUCGGCAACUUGCUUGCUGUUCUUCUUGAAGUUCCCCUUCUUCUUCCCUUUGCCUUUUUUCUUGAAACUGGUGGUCUUAUUGAUCAUCAAAACUUGAUGCUCCUUCUUGAUUUCUACCUCCGCUGCCUUUAGCAUUGCGAAGAGCUCGGGAAUUGUCUUAUCCAUCCCUUGCAUAUUAUAGUUCAUCACGAAGCUCUUGUAGCUUGGUGGCAGUGAUUGGAGAACUCUGUCAAUGACACUACCGACCGGAAGAUUAACUCCCAGCUGAGUCAAGUGAUUAUGGUACCCAGACAUUCUGAGUAUAUGUUCACUGACAGAACUAUUCUCCUCCAUCUUGCAGCUGUAGAAUUUAUUGGAGACUUCAUAUCUCUCAAUCCGGGCAUUAGCUUGAAAUAUUAACUUCAACUCCCGGAACAUCUCAUAUGCUGCACGACAUUCAAAACGUCGUUGAAGUCCAGGUUCUAAGCCGUAAAGCAUGGCGCACUGAACUAUCAAGUAGUCAUCAGCUUUGCUCUACCAGACAUUCUUAACGUCGUCAGUUGCAUCAGCAGCAGGCCUGGCACUCAGCGGUACUUCCAGGACGUAAUUCUUCUGAGCAGCAAUGAGGAUAAUCCUCAACUUACGGACCCAGUAUGUGUAAUUGCUACCAUCAUCUUUCAACUUUGCUUUCUCAAGGAACACAUUAAAAUUCAACGGAACAACAACACAGGCCAUCUAUCUACAAUCAACAUAGACAAGCAAGAUACUAUCAGGUACUAAGUUCAUGAUAAAUUUAAGUUCAAUUAAUCAUAUUAUUUAAGAACUCCCACUUAGAUAUACAUCCCUCUAAUCCUCUAAGUGAUCACGUGAUCCAUAUCAACUAAACCAUGUCCGAUCAUCACGUGAGAUGGAGUAGUUUCAAUGGUGAAUAUCACUAUGUUGAUCAUAUCUACUACAUGAUUCACGCUCGACCUUUCGGUCUCCGUGUUCCGAGGCCAUAUCUGUUAUAUGCUAGGCUCGUCAAGUUUAACCUGAGUAUUCCGUGUGUGCAACUGUUUUGCACCCGUUGUAUUUGAACGUAGAGCCUAUCACACCCGAUCAUCACGUGGUGUCUCAGCACGAAGAACUUUCGCAACGGUGCAUACUCAGGGAGAACACUUUAUACUUUGAUAAUUUAGUGAGGGAUCAUCUUAUAAUGCUACCGUCAAUCAAAGCAAGAUAAGAUGCAUAAAAGAUAAACAUCAGAUGCAAUCAAUAUAAGUGAUAUGAUAUGGCCAUCAUCAUCUUGCGCUUGUGAUCUCCAUCUCCGAAGCACCGUCAUGAUCACCAUUGUCACCGGCGCGACACCUUGAUCUCCAUCGUAGCAUCGUUGUCGUUUCGCCAAUCUUAUGCUUCCGCGACUAUUGCUACCACUUAGUGAUAAAGUAAAGCAUUACAGGGCGAUUACAUUGCAUACAAUAAAGCGACAACCAUAUGGCUCCUGCCAGUUGCCGAUAACUCGGUUACAAAACAUGAUCAUCUCAUACAAUAAAAUUUAGCAUCAUGUCUUGACCAUAUCACAUCACAACAUGCCCUGCAAAAACAAGUUAGACGUCCUCUACUUUGUUGUUGCAAAUUUUACGUGGCUGCUACGGGCUUAGCAAGAACCGUUCUUACCUACGCAUCAAAACCACAACGAUAGUUUGUCAAGUUGGUGCUAUUUUAACCUUCUCAAGGACCGGGCGUAGCCACACUCGGUUCAACUAAAGUUGGAGAAACUGACACCCGCCAGCCACCUGUGUGCAAAGCACGUCGGUAGAACCAGUCUCGCGUAAGCGUACGCGUAAUGUCGGUCCAGGCCGCUUCAUCCAACAAUACCGCCGAACCAAAGUAUGACAUGCUGGUAGGAAGCAUGACUUAUAUCGCCCACAACUCACUUGUGUUCUACUCGUGCAUAUGACAUCUACGCAUAAAACCUGGCUCGGAUGCCACUGUUGGGGAACGUAGUAAUUUCCAAAAAUUUCCUACGCACACGCAAGAUCAUGGUGAUGCAUAGCAAUGAGAGGGGAGAGUGUUGUCCACGUACCCUCGUAGACCGAAAGUGGAGGCGUUAGCACAACACGGUUGACGUAGUCGUACGUCUUCACGAUCCGACCGAUUAAGUACCGAACGUACGGCACCUCCGAGUUCAGCACACGUUCAGCCCGAUAACGUCCCUUGAACUCUGAUCCAGCCGAGUGUUGAGGGAGAGUUUUGUCAGCAUGAUGGCGUGGUGAUGAUGAUGAUGUUCUACUGAUGUAGGGCUUCGCCUAAGCACCGCUACAGUAUUAUCGAGGUGGACUAUGGUGGAGGGGGGCACCGCACACGGCUAAAAGAUCAAACGAUCAAUUGUUGUGUCUAUGGGGUGCCCCCUGCCCCCGUAUAUAAAGGAUCAAGGGGAGGAGCUGGCCGGCCAGGGAGAGGCACGCCAAUGGGGAGUCCUACUCCCAUAGGAGUAGGACUCCUCCUAUUCCUAGUAGGAGUAGGAGAGGGGGAAGGAAAGGGAGAGGGGGAGAAGGAAAGAGGGGGCCGUCCCCCCUUGCCCUAAACCAAUUCGGUUUGGGACUUGGGGGGUUGCGCACCACACUCCCCUUGCUGCCAUCUAUUUCCACUAAGGCCCAUGUAGGCCCAUUAAGCCCCCGGGGGGUUCCGGUAACCUCCCGGUACUCCGGUAAAAUCCCGAUUUCACCCGGAACACUUCCAAUAUCCAAACAUAGGCUUCCAAUAUAUCAAUCUUCAUGUCUCGACCAUUUCGAGACUCCUCGUCAUGUCCGGGAUCACACCCGGGACUCCGAACAACCUUCGGUACAUCAAAACAUAUAAACUCAUAAUAUAACCAUCAUCGAAACAUUAAGCAUGCGGACCCUACAGGUUCGAGAACUAUGUAGACAUGACCGAGACAUGUCUCCGGUCAAUAACCAAUAGCGGAACCUGGAUGUUCAUAUUGGCUCCCACAUAUUCUACGAAGAUAUUUAUCGGUCAAACCGCAUAACAACAUACGUUGUUCCCUUUGUCAUCGGUAUGUUACUUGCCCGAGAUUCAAUCGUUGGUAUCUCAAUACCUAGUUUAAUAUCAUUACCGGCAAGUCUCUUUACUCGUUCUGUAAUACAUCAUCUCGCAACUAACUCAUUAGUUGCAAUGCUUACAAGGCUUAAGUGAUGUGCAUUACCGAGAGGGCCCAGAGAUACCUCUCCGACAAUCGGAGUGACAAAUCCUAAUCUCGAAAUACGCCAACCCAACAAGUACCUUCAGAGACACCUGUAGAGCACCUUUAUAAUCACCCAGUUACGUUGUGACGUUUGGUAGCACACAAAGUGUUCCACCGGUAAACAGGAGUUGCAUAAUCUCAUAGUCAUAGGAAGUAUAAGUCAUGAAGAAAGCAAUAGCAGAAUACUAAACGAUCAUGUGCUAAGCUAACGGAAUGGGUCAAGUCAAUCACAUCAUUCUCCUAAUGAUGUGAUCUCAUUAAUCAAAUGACAACACUUUGUCUAUGGUUAGGAAACUUAACCAUCUCUGAUUAAUGAGCUAAUCAAGUAGAGGCAUACUAGUGACAUACUAUUUGUCUAUGUAUUCACACAUGUAUUAUGUUUCCUGUUAAUACAAUUCUAGCAUGAAUAAUAAACAUUUAUCAUGAUAUAAGGAAAUAAAUAAUAACUUUAUUAUUGCCUCUAGGGCAUAUCUCCUUCAAAAAGUAGUUUUAAUGCAAGAGAUGUAACAUAAGCCACCAUAGGGAGCAUUCAUUUUCCUUCUAUACAUUAUUUUGCUCUCUUCAUAGGAAGGUGCAUAAACGGUAAAGAUGAAGCAUGUCACAUGUGUGUACCUGAUCUUAGCGUUCUUAGGAGCGCUGUUUUAGGAGAUAAACAAUAUAACUUGGGCGCUAUUGUUGCAUGCAGGUUUCAUAAUAAUCGUAUUCAUGGAGAUUUCUUUCGUGGAAUUUAUGCAACUCGUAUAGCUAACUUUCUUGAGAUACCCAUACGUGGAGAUGAUAUUGAGUUGUCUCCUUCUUAUCUAGAUUAUGAUGCUAUGGUUCGUCAUCAGUUUGUUGAGAGGAACAAUCAGUUCCUCCAGUACCGACAAAUUGACAGACGACGAACCUAUCACGUCGCUCUCCCUGCUCCCACUUUCUUUGACUUUCAGGCAAAGGGGAGAUAUGUUAUAACCAGGGAGGAGGCGACUGAGUACUAGAGGAGGGCGGAGACAACUCGCCUCCAAGCCGCAGCUCAUCAGGCAAUUGCCGCUGCAUCUCAGUACGACCCCAGCUACAACUUUGUAUAUCCACAAGGCCAGCCGUGGCCAUAGACCAACUUAGGCUAAAAGCCUAAGCUUGGGGCAGUACGUAUCUCUCACCGACAUUACAUUCAUGUUCACACACUCAUGCUAGUUGUCGGUGCUCAUACUUUUUUAUUGUAAUAUCCAUGCUAGUUUAUUUCCCUUUUUAUGCUUUCUUCUUGCGUGUUUGAUAAACCUUAAGAAAAAAACAAAAAAAAAUAGUUGUAGCUUUUAGCUAGUUUACUUUUCAUGCCUGUAGUAGUAAUAAUUAAAAAGAAAACCCAAAAAGAUUUCUCGUUCUUAUUUUGCUUGUUGGGAGCUUUCCUGUGUAAAUAGUUUUAUUUCUUUUCUUGUUCUUUGGGGGUCGAGAGGAGAAGAUCAUGAUGAAAAUGUUGAGUGGCUCUUAUAUGCAUUAUUGUUGAUCUAUAAAAGAGCCCAUAUUACCUUGUCUUCUCUCUUGAAUUGAGUGCUUGCAGAUUCUAGCUUAGUCCAAUGCACGUUGUAACACCCUCGAUGCGACUAUAUCUCCCACGUGUCGAGGCACGACUUAGAGGCAUAAUCGCAUUGAAGGCAUAUGUCGCAAGUUAGGCGAUCUUCACAACAUCCCAUGUAAUAUAAUUAAUAAAAGGGGAGAUAACAUAGUUGGCUUACAUUCGCCACGUCAAUCAAGUACAUAAAUAGCAUUACAUCAAUCAAACACUCAUGGCCCGACUACGGCGCUAAAAUAAAAGACAACCCAACAUGCGACACGGUCCCGAUCACCCCAACUGGGCACCACUACUGAUCAUCAGGAAAAGAAACAUAGUAACGAUAAGAGUCCUCGUCGAACUCCCACUUGAGCUCAAGCGCGCCAUCUGGAGCUGCAUCAUCAGGCCCUGCAUCUGGUGUAAUAGUAAUCUGUGAGCCACAGGGACUCAGCAAUCUCGCACCCUCGCGAUCAAGACUAUUUAAGCUUAAAUGGGUAAGGCAAGGUAAAUAUAUGUGGAGCUGCAGCAAGCGACUAGCAUAUAUGGUGGCUAUCCUAUUCGCAAAAGAGAGCGAGAAGAGAAGGCAAAGCGCGAACGCAUAACUAAAGAGGGCAAUCCUGCGACAAACAUUACUCCAACACCGUGUCCACUUCCCGGACUCCGCCGAGAAGAGGCCAUCACGGUAACUCACACAGUUGAUUCAUUUUAAUUAAGUUAAUGUUUAAGUUAUCUACAACCGGAUAUUAACAAAUUCCCAUCUGCCCAUAACCGCGGGCACGACUUUCGAAAGUUCAAAUCCCUGCAGGGGAGUCCGAACUUAGCCCAUGACAAGCUCUCACGGUCAACGAAGGAAUAGACCUCCUCCCGAGACGUUCCGAUCAGACUCGGUACCUCGGUUCUUCAAGACAUUUCGAUAGGUUAAAACUAGACCAGCAACACCGCCCGAAUGUGCCGACAAAUCCCGAUAGGAGUUGCACAUAUCUCGUUCUCAGGGCACACUCAGAUGAGCCAGACGUCGGGUAGGCCAGCCCAGAGUUGCCCCUGGUAGCCCCGGACAUCGCUCGGUUGGACCAACACUCAGAGGAGCACUGGCCUGGGGGGGUUUAAAAUAAGAUGACCCCCGGGCUCCGGAAACCCAAGGGAAAAAGAGGCUAGGUGGCAAAUGGUAAAACCAAGGUUGGGCAUUGCUGGAAAAGCUUUAAUCAAGGCGAACUAUCAAGGGGUUCCCAUUAUAACCCAACCGCGUAAGGAACGCAAAAUCCGGGAACAUAACACCGAUAUGACGGAACUAGGGCAGCAAGAGUGCAACAAAACACUAGGCGAGUGGCCGAGCCUUCCACCCUUUACCAAGUAUAUAGAUGCAUUAAGAUAACAUGGCAAUAUAGUGAUAUCCCAACAAGUAAAUAAGUGUUCCAACAAGGAACGGUCUCCAAAACUUCACCUGCAACUAGCAACGCUAUAAGAGGGGCUGAGCAAAGCGGUAACAUAGCCAAUCAACGGUUUGCUAGGACAAUGGCGGGUUAGAGGCUGAACAUGGCAAUUUGGGAGGCUUGAAAGCAAGUGGUAGGCAUCGUAGCAUGGCAUAGCAAAAGAGCGAGCAUCUAGCAAAGCAAAGAUAGUUGUGAUUUCGAGGGUAUGAUCAUCUUGCCUGCAAAGUUGUCAGAGUUGCCUGGAUCCUCGAAAGCAAACUCAACAGGCUCCUCGUUAGCGAACUCGUCUCCCGGCUCUACCCAUACAAGACAAACAAGCAACAAGGACACAAUCAACCACGUGCAAGGAUCAAACAAUAGGAUGCAAACAUGGUAUGCUAUGCGGGAUGUAAUGCGGGAUGCAUAAGCAAGAUUUGACAAGGAAAGCAUGACCCUGGCCUCAACUUGGAAAACCAAGUGUGCCACUGGAAAGAUGAGAUGAAGUCGCUUGAAAACAAUAUAAAGAACGCCGGAAUCGGAGUUACGGUUUGGAAAUGGCAAGCGAUUCAAAUAUGACACCGGUCUGCGAUUUACAGCAAGUAGCCAUCUAAAUGCAAUGAGAUGAACAAGCUACAACACCCAAACAUGGCAACAAAAUACAUGGCAGGGAUGCAUUCAAGAUUCUUAACAAAAGUCUAGCACUGAGCUACGGCCAAUUCAUCCAUUAGCAGGUUCAAACAAGCAUGGCAAAAAUGCAUAUGGUAAACAGAUCUCAGACUUAGUGAAAUUAACACUUGUCUGGAAUUUCAGAUCAGAUAGCACUCUUCGGAGCAACAAAACUAUAUGCUACAGGACCUGAACAUGACAAAGUAAAGCAUGGCAUGGAGCUACUCAAAGAUCUUAACAAAAGUCCCUUAGUGACCUUAAGCCAAAAGGGAUCACAAAAUACAUUUGCAAGCAUGUGAACAUAGCAAAAACAUAAUCAGUUUCCAGACUUUGUGAAAACUGGAGCAUGCUGAAACAUAUCUCAAGUAGGCAUGUUUACGAGCUCGAUGCACUCAGUACGGAGCAAGUCAUGAUAAUCUAAGCAUACAUACAUCAAGAAUACACAAAAUGCAAGCUAGGCAUGGCAAGAACAAUAGCAUAGCAUGCAUGGAUCAACUACAACAUCAUCGGCA